GCAUGGAUAUGAUGAAUAGUUGCUCUGCCUAAUUUGCAAAUUUGAAGUUCUCUAUCAAGUUUAGACAUAACUGUUAUAAUUUAAAGCUUGCUCUAGAUCUAAACUUGUGGGAUGAAAACUUGAUCUAAAAUCUAAGUUGUUAACGGAUAUGAUAUGGGAAGGUUGAGCUGCUGUUUAUCUGUUCCUAGAGAUGCUAGAAUUCUGGAGAAUUUUAUCUUUGAAAAAUAUGUAAAAUAUUGCAUGAUGAGUUCCUGUAUGAUGAGAGUUUAAAUUCCUACCACAGCCAUAUAUACAUGCUUGCUAGACUUUGAGCCACACAUUUACUAUUUACUGCUUAUGAGCAUUGAGUGUGGUCAAGCUGUGUAGACCCUUAGGAGCUUGUCAUGUGGUUAAAUCAAGAUUCACUUGCACGUUCACUCAUAUAUGCUACUUCUACUCUGGAAGUACCAUCCACAUAUAUCCAUCCAUGUCCAUCUACAGAACCACCCAAAAAUAUUCUACUCCUAAUCCGGGAGAGAAUAGCCAAAAAUAUUUCUGUUUUCCCUUGUGAAAUAAAUGCUCAAGUUAUCUUGCUACUACCAAUUGCUAUAUUAUCUCAAGAGAUGAGUGCUCUGGAAAAAAGAAAAGAGAAGAAAAGAAAAAAAAAUUAACGAGGAAAUAAAAAGGGGCAAGUGCCCGGAACCUCGAAAGAAAGAAAAAGUGAGACGAGAGGUAAAAAUGGACAAGUGUCUGACAGUAGAAUUAGGGGUACAAGAUACCCACCUGAGAGGAAAGAAAAAGAAGAGCAUCUCAUUCUUCUCAUAAAGUUUCAAAAAGCAAGGAAGGUAUGUAUCCCCUCAAAAGAGCAAAAGUAGAAUUAGACUUUCACCAUUGUUAGCACCAUCAUCACCAUACACCAUUCAUUCGCCACACAUGCACAUCUUGAUUUGGCUUAUUGAUUUGUUUCUUUGGAUCCAUGGUUUGACUAUACAAUAAAUGUCUUUUAAGUAUGUAUACUUUAUCUCCCACCUAUGAGCUCAGAUAUUAAAGCCUUAUUAGAGUAGGGUGAGAGAGAAGGCAAUGUCACUAUGCCUUAUACCACAAAUACCACAUAUCUUGAGAGAAGGCAUAUACCAUCACUGCCUUUGUAAGGAUCCAGAAAUACCACAAAAGAGAGAUUUAGAGAUUCAUACAAGGAAUCUCUGAGUUUUAUUUGAAAAUCUGCAAAAACUCCAGAGCUAUAGCUGAUCAAGAAUAAGAGACAUGGCACUUGGCUAGACUGUUCUAUCUUUUAACUACUCAAGAUAGAAGUGAUUGUUACAAGUCCCAUGGUGAAACGUAAAGUAAGUAAGUUUUAGUUCUUGACAGUUUACUCUAACUCAGAGAUGAGAUCUUAUUUAAAAGCAUGUGUACCAUCAAUUUUUUAAGAUAUUGCAACAACUUCUGAUCCAUUGCUGAGUCUAUCCUUGCUCAGGGACGAGCAAGAGGUAAGCUUGGGGGAGUUUGUUGACGGUCCUUAAGUAUCAAAUUUAAUUAUCAAAUAAACAAAGAAAAGGAUCCAAAUGAAAUCAACAUCUAGACUUAGGGUUUUAUCUGACAUAAUUCCACGAGUUUUGGUGUUUGUCUAUUUCUGCAGGGGGUUAUCAGGAAAUACGGAAGAAAGACCCACACGUUGGGAUUAUAUAGAGAUAUUAACGUGCCACGCAAUUAUCUUACAUCUAGAAGACUCCAGAAGCCACGGGAAGGAAGCAGAGGCCGAAUGGGGCCAGAGGCAGUGCGCCCACCCUCCUGCCCUGGGUGCCCGCCCUGACUUGGAGCCCAAUCAAGACUCUUUCUAUCGGGAGAUCUCCACCGACCUAAAGGACCAAGGAUAACCGUUCAAUCAAUGUCGGUUUGAUCCGACGGCCCAGGUUCAAUUGAAGUGACUAUAUAACCAGACCCCCUAGCCCCUGGAGGAGACACACCCCUUGAUCAUUAUUCAUUAUUCAUAGAUAGAGCAAAAGCUAGGGUUUAGAGAUGAGAGCUCUCCUCUCUUCUCUAAACUAGAGUAGAUCUAGAUAGUAGCAAGAUGGAGAGCCAAGGAGGAUUAGAGGAGAGGCCGGCCUGUUGGUUCUUCCUCCAGUUGUACUUCGUCAUGAUCAAGCUCUAAUCAAGCUUGCUCAUGGGAUGACUCUGGUAAUCUACUUCUAAUUCAUUAUGCAAUUACUAAUCAUGUAUGUUCUGGUUCACAACUCUUUUGAGUACUUCUAAUCUAUAGGACGCUAUAGGUUAGAGUUGUAGUAUAGGUGUAAGCGAUGUGCUUAGAUCUAGAUUACUUGUGGAUAUCCCCUGUCUAGUUAGAUCGUGUGGUAGGCCGCGUAGGCAACAAUUACGUUGGUCCUCUGUAGUCCACCUCUCGUUAGCAGGACGGGUAGGGUUUAUCAGCCUAUGGAUAAGCAUCCUUUUGUUGUAAUCUUAUCACGUGGUUCGUCCCAGACAUAGACAUACCCCUUUGAAGUAGAGAAACCAUAGUUAUCCUCUCUAUUCUGCUACCAUUGCCCAUAUACUAGAAUUGCUCUACUCUCUAUUCCCAUAUUAUCACUCACUGUUAUCUGACCUUUAAUAUUGUUCUUAUUCGAUUCUACCAUCUUUCCUAUUCACACCUAUCUAUCUAUCUUGGUUUAGUUAGAGCGUAGUUGGUUCUCCCGUUUCCCUGUGGAUACGAUAAAACCUUUAACCGGGUAAAAGCUUCAAUGGUAUCCGUGCGCUUGCGGAUUAUCUGUGUGUGUAUAAAUACCAUAGUACACUCUAGUGCCACGCUGGGGAUGACAACCUAGUAUUCAAGUGGUGUUAGCAAGUGUCAACAGUGCUUAUACCGUAUUUAUCUGCGAUUGUACCCAAUAUGCCAGAUCGUGGGGUAGUUCGUGAUAGUGACAGCUUCAUUGAUUCUUAUAUAGUCCCCCUCUCGUGUAUUGGGCUGGCAGAGCAAUAUUAUUACAGGGGAGUGAUUGCUAUGUUUCUCAUUUACAUUGCUAAUAUCACUAUGCAUGGGUGUAGUCUUGUCUUGCAAUGAUUGCUAAGUAUGCUUGCACUAAUUAUGAUAAUGCUAGACUAUAUAGUUGACAAUAACUUAGGGAAUAUUCUUGUAGUUCGUUCUAAUACCAUGCUAAUGACUUUCUAGAGUAUCUAAUUGAGGUGCUUAUCAUAUUUAUUAUGUGGCUAGAUCAAAUUAAUUAUACUUGUCACUAUUCAUUAUUUCAUAUAUCUUUUUAUGUGACACUUAUCCCUGUAUGAAAGAGUUAGAUAAAUUUUCUCAAUUAUACAUGCAAUGAUAGAUACUCAAUCUCAUAUUCUAUUCUGUAAUCAAUAUUGAUGAUUGUUAAUCCCUUCCCAGUGGUAAAAAUAUAAAUAACGAUACCUGGAAUACUUCCCGGUUAAAAUGCUACAUCGGUAUUAAUCUGUGCGCUUGCAGAUCUCAUUCAUUAUUUAUUUAGAAGAGCAAUUGCAUAUUUCAAUACCACGUCUCUCAUGUCAUGCUGGGGAUGACAACUUGGCUUAAGUGGUAUGAGGGAUAGGUUUGGCAUUUUUGGCACCGUUACUAGAUUUAGAGAACUUAGUCUACUCUUGGUAAUGAUGUUAAGAAUACCCAACAAGCAUUUUUGGCGCCGUUGUCGGGGAAGGUUGAUUACUAAUCAGGAAUGGAAUAAAGGAUUUUGAGUUAUCAUUCGCAUCACUAAUAUGAUUGAGCUUAUCUAUUCUCUCAUACAGUUUUACCCCGAUAUUUUUCUAUUUUAUCUUAUGCAGGGGAAUGUAUGAAUAGAAGACAUCUUCCAGGAAAUUUUGUUGACAAUCCCGAAGCAUUAUUCAAGAAGACGAGAGCCAAGCUCAAGAGGAGAUCAUCAACACUUCAGCAAGAAGCUUCAUCCAAUCAAGAAGAUCACUGGAACUUGUCUUCAGAGUUCGAAGCCGUGGCGAACAAAUCAAUCCGCGAGUUCUCAGCUCCCACUACGAACAACAUCCGCACUGGACCUGCUACAGAGAUCGAUGGAAACUUUGAGCUCAAGCCUGGUCUUAUCAACAUGGUGCAAUCCAACCAGUUCUGUGGGAAGCCACAUGAAGAUGCUAGUGCUCAUCUACAACACUUCCUGGAGAUUUGCAAAACAUUCACCAUAUCAGGAGUCUCCAGAGAUGCUAUACUACUUUGCCUCUUCCCAUUCUCACUGUUAGGAAGAGCGAAGCAGUGGUUCUACGCUACAAAGGAGAAGAAUACUACGUGGGCACUCUGCUCAACAAACUUCCUGGCUAAGUUCUUUCCCAUGGGCAAGACCAAUGCUCUCCGUGGGAAAAUUACAAGUUUUCAGCAACAAAAUGAUGAAUCUGUUCCAGAAGCAUGGGAGCGCUUCCAAGACUACAUCCUAGAAUGUCCCCAUCAUGGAAUGGAGAGUUGGCUACUGAUGCAGACGUUUUAUCAUGGGCUCGGCAACAGUGCCCGAGAGACCAUGGAUGCUGCAGCUAGAGGAGCAUUCUUAUCACUUACCAUAUCACAAGCCACAGCUCUUGUGGAGAAGAUGGCGUCCAACCAAGCCUGGAAUGAAGAGAGGACCCAGACACGCAAGAGAGGUGGAGGUAUGCAUCAGCUCAAGGAGGUAGACAUGCUGUUUGCAAAGCUAGACCUGCUCAUGAAGAAGCUCGACGAUAGAGCUGGAGAUAAGAAAGAAGUUAUGCACAUCUACGACUCUCACAUGAUUUGUGAGGAGUGUGGAGAUACUGGACACUCAGGCAAUCACUGCCCUGAGAUGCUUGAGGAUGUGAACUACAUCAACAACAACAACAACAACUACUACUACUACAACCGUCCUCAACAAAAUCAAGGCUGGAAUCAACAGAGGCCUAACUACUCUGGUAAUUAUUAAGGUAACAAUUCUUACAACAAUAAUAAUAAUUUUCCACUUCUGAGAGAGUUAGUGUCUAAUCAAGGAAAGCUAAUGGAUAACCUAUCUAAGAAAUUGGCAUCUAAUGAUAAAAUGCUAAAAAUAUAAAUAAUAGAAUGGAUAAUUUCUCUACUGCCAUCAAGAAUCAAAUUAGCUUUCAUAAAAUGAUUGAAUCCCAGUUAAAUCAAAUAGCUGCUGUUGUUCCUACUACUAACCCCGGUAUACCAUCACAACUGGAAGGAUUAGAAUCUGCAAAUCUUGUAGACAUGUUUGAUGCAGGUAUUUAGAGUAACCCCGUCACUGAAUUCAUUACUGACCUUCUGCCGGUCAAGAGAGGUGAUCCAGGACACCCCGUCAUCCCGAUCUCCAUCGGCAUGGUGGACGUCCCAGAAGCACUCUGCGACUUUGGCUCUAGUGUCAACAUUAUACCCAGGGUACUCUAUGAAAAAAUCUUUACAUAUCCUUUAUUAGAGACAACCAUGUGUUUGCAGUUUGCAGAUCAGACGAUAAGUUUUCCAAAAGGAAUAUUAAAGAACAUUUGUGUCCGAGUUGGUACCUUGUACGCCCCAGCAGACUUCGUAGUGGUAGAGACCGGUAAUGAUGAGAGAGCACCUAUCAUCUUAGGGAGGCCAUUCUUAAACACCACGGGAGCUAUCAUCUACGCCAGUGCUGCCAAGAUCAGUUUCUACAUCAAAGGGAGGAAGGAGACAUUUUUCUUCAAGAACAAGACUACACAAAUCCCAGAUCAAUCCAGACGUGAAUCAAGGAAGAGGACCAAUAGGAGGAACAGGAACAAGCAAGUGUUGACCGAGUCAGCUAAGAUGGUCACUGUAGUUCAUGGAGGCCAAGAUCAUAAACUCAAGUCACCGUUUUUGACUAAGAAGGACGACCCAGGAAUGCCAAGCAUCUAUUGCUCCAUAAAUGGAUACAGCUUCUACAAGACGUUUUGCGACACCGGAUCGGGCGUCAACAUAAUGGCCGUAGUCACCUAUCGGCUCUUGUUCGGAACCAUGCCCCUAAGACCAUCAUACAUUCAGCUCCAGAUGGCAGAUCAGACAUUUCGAGAGGUUAAAGGAACAAUAAUUGAUGUCCCAGUCAAAAUAGACGAUCAUUUUGUCUACACAGACUUUCAAGUUAUUGACAUGGGAGAAGAUGAGUACGAUCCACCCAUCAUCCUUGGAAGACCGUUCCUCAGCACUGUUAAAGCAAUUAUCUACAUUGGAACCGGAGAAGUCCAUAUGCACUUCCCCUCAGAGAGGUACGCCAUUAUUUUACUGACCCUAACUAUAUCUUUGAAGAAUCUAAGCAGGUAAGAAAAUAACGCAACCGCAACCAGAGGAGGCAGAUCAUCAAGGACGGAUGGGCAGACUACGAAGGAGAAGUUGUAAGAUCAGAAGACGUAGAGUUUAAAUAGAAUUAUCCAGAGGAGACCGAAGCACCGAGUCACCUAUCUUGGAAUGGCACACGAUUUAUGUUAAUUGUGUGUUGGUUGUAUCAAAUUAGGUUCCCUCUCUUAGGAGCCAAGCUUAUAGACUUGACUAUUAGUUUUUGAAUGUUUGAGCAUCCAUGUCGAUGCUUGAUAUGUAAACCCAUAUCCAGACCCUUAAGUGUUUGCAUAUACCACGGUUGUCCUACACCAGUUUGCAAAUAUCCUUGUCCAGCAAACUAGCUAGUGUCCUACACCAGUUUGCAAAUAUCCUUGUCCAGCAAACUAGCUAGGAUAAGUCCUCGCUACAUAAAGCAUUUGACUAUAGUUGUUCCUUGCUAGUUACGGAGACCAUACCAAAUCCAUGUUGGCCCUCCCGGUUGCCUCUCCCAAAGCUUAGUGUAAUACCCGAUUUUAAAGACAAAACCAGAUAUGCACCAUAUGCGAGUUUUAAAAGCCAAGCCUCACCUAUAGCUAAAAAUAAGGGGUAAUAUCAAAAGACAAUGCAUAAAUUAUAUAACGUACUUAGUAUAAAAGAGAUAACCUUUGAUAAAAAACAACGGAUAGACAACUCCAAACUUCAGGUAUUAACUUCACUCUACAGGAUCCAACUGACUGGUUGAUCACAAGCCCAAAACUUCUCUUGAGGUGUGGGGGAAAUUGCAAGAGUGAACACAUAUCGUACUCAACAUGUAUAACCAGGGGUUCAUGAGGCUCAAAUAGCUGACACUGGUUUGACUGCAUGUAGCUUUUAUAUGUAGAUAGCAUAUUUAUCAUUGGAUAGCAAAUGUCAAGGUAGCAUAAUUAAAUCCCAUAACCACAUGAUCAAUGUAUACAAGAAUUAAGAAUAACACAUAUAAACAACAUAAUAAACCAUCCUUUAUUAUCAUUAAUCAUGUUCAUCAGUGUCCAUCUAUUCCGUCAGUUUUUCGGGCCGCCCGUAUCCGUGGGCACGGCUAGUAUACCAGAUUUAACACUCUGCAGAGGUUAUACAUCUUUACCCAUGAGUCAUGAUUUACCCUUUCGCCCGAGGCCCGUCGACCUCAUAGCUCACAUCCGAGGAAAGCCGGCAGGGUUCACUAUGAAGUCUUUCAAAGGUUCGUCUAACAAGUUAGGGCCGGAAGGUUUCCUUUGCACACAGAUAUAGAUACCCCCCUUCCAAAUGGCACAAUGACGCGCAGCCUAUACACAUAAGGACAGGGGCUCGCACUAUACCCAAAACGGUUCAGCCCCUCCGCCCAUUCGGGUAACCUCUAACAAGCUAGAAAAUCUUACUCAUACUUGACUAAAGCCAGAGCCAUAUAGCCCUCAUGGUUGUACGAGUUGUCCCAACUUUUGCCAAGGGAUAAGUCCUUAUGGAGGGUUAAGAUCAAUCCAGCAAAAGCCAGAGUUCUUUCCACCCUUUAUAUUCAAGUUGCUAGAAAGCUUAUUUUAUUGUUUAUUGUAUAUUCAAAUAUUCAUGUUACAAGAUCAUGGAUUAUAUUCAAGCACUAGCAAGAACUACCCAAAUGCAUAUCCAAAAUAGGCAACAAGGAAUUCAGGAUAACAAUCAUCUAUGAUUUUGCUAAGGUCAUCAAGGUGGACACAUGCAUAUGAUAAAUGUUAUAUUAAUUGUGUAUAGGAAACAAGGAUGAUCCCCAGUUAUACUUGCCUUGAUCAAAGCUCUCCUGAGCCUGAUGUUGGUCGUCAAAAGCUUGACCUUGAUCACCAACGUAAAGCUCACCGACUAAACUCGAUCAUCAAUCAACAACACGCAAUCCAAUGUAGGCAAUCAUAAACGAAGCAAACAAGCUAUAAUUAGAACAAUACACCAAACAGUGGUAAAACAAAUAUAAAAGUUUAUUAAAGUAUUCUACGCAGCGCUACGAUCACAUAAACGUAAAGUUCGCGAAAAUCGGAGCUAAAACGGAAAAGUUAUGAAUUUUCUAAGAUUUUAUGUUGAAAAGAAAUUAAUUAAUUAAAGUCACGAAAUUAAAAAGUUUGAAACUAAGUAAACAAUUUUACUAACAUGUAGAGCUCAUGAUUAUGAACGUUACGCAAUUUGAAUGGGUCAAAACGGAAUUAAAAUGAAUACUUUUUGAUCAAUUAAAAUCUAGUGGCAAUUCUGUAAAUAGCGAAAACGUAAUUAGAACUGAGCCGAGAGAAAAUACGCUUUCAAAAUUGAGAAACGGCUUUCCCAGAUGACGCCAAGGACCGCAGGUUGAGCAUUGAAUCUUCCAGGGGCUCUUUAAGAAAAACACCAGCGAAGGGGUAUCUUCUAAUCUGGAUCGUUGAUCCACGAUCCAACGAUUGAGAUUCGAUCUAGGGGGAGGGAGAGGGGAUGGCUGGCCGGAAGAGAAACAACGGCGCGGUGGUGCCAUUGACGAGAGUCCUGCUCCUCGCCGGCGUUCGUGGAGAAGGCGCUAGGGACCAUGGUUUUCGAUGGGAAAAGAACCAGGGCGUAGAGGACCUCUAUGCGAACUCACCUAGGGGCUUCACGGGUCGGGGAGGAGCUCGGAAAAGGAUGUUCGACGCGAGGUGGCGCUCGGGUGCUCUGCAGACAGUUCGGGAAGGUUUAAGAGCAAUAGAUCGCGCUAGAGAGUAAAAGGAAGGGCUCAGCAUCUUCUUCACCUCAACCCGAAGCUCGGCAAGUGGUUUUCGGUGCUCUGGACGCAGCAGGUGGGGAAGCCCACGACGGCGGCGAAUUCGUUCAUCGGAGAGAUCUGAACCAAGGCGAGAGAGCUGCUGGGGCGGCUUCACGUCGCGUUAAACGGAAGAGGGGGUCGAGAGGGAGGGCACGGGGCUUUAUUGGCCUGGAGAAGAUCUCCUAACGCGUGAAAUCCCGACCUGAGCGGGAUUCGGUUUCCACCGAGAGCCCGGGGUCGGUGUGGACUCGAGGGAGAAGAAAGGAAGGGUGGGAGGGGAGACUGACACGCGGGCCCGGGAUGUCAGCGAACAGAGAGAGGAAGGGGAGGGAAGGGCGCGCGGCUGGGCUGUUGGGCCCAAGCAAGCUGGGCCGCGGGAAAAGAAGGAGGAGGCCUUCAGGCCGAUUUUCCAGGGAGAGGUGAGGGUUUCCUAUUAUUUUUUUCUUUUCUUUUGUUUAUUUCAAAGCCAUUUUCAAAUUCGUUAUAAAAUCACUUUGAAUUAUUUUUGAACUUUAAUAAAGCCACUCAGCACAAUAAUUAAAAUGCAUAAGCAUGAGUGCACAAAAAUGUUGCUACACCCUAUGAUUGAUUUUAAAUGACUAAAAAUAUUAUUUUUCCUAUAUUUUCAUGAGCACAAAAUACAAAAUUAAAUCAUUUUUCUCCUAUUUAAAAAGUUGUAGAUUUUUGGGUGUUACAAAUCUACCCCCUUAAAAUGAAUCUCAUCCUCGAGAUUCGAAAGAGCAUGGAUUCCAAAAGAGAAACAGGAAAAGAUCUUAAUACUCUUUCAACUUCACACUUGCAUUCCAACUGCAAACUCUUGUGUCUCGGGAUCAUAACUUAUGAACAAAGCUCCCAUAAGAUGUUUAUUAUUCAGAUUUGAUCAAAGUCUAUCUUGAAUUCCAACCUUUUGACUUACAACUCAAGAUCGUGAUAGCUUAGCAUAGAUUUGCCUCCUCAGGUAGGAGUGGACCACCUUGAUACUCGAUUCUUUUCCUUGAUGGUGCGGUUGAGAAAAUUUUCCACUGGAUAUCAUAGAUCACUCCUUUGUGUGCACAUGACCAUAAGAUACAUGAUAGUUUUAAAAACAUCAUCCCGUGAUAUCAAGGUACUACCCCCCUUAAGACGAGGUUGAUUGGGGGACACUAGGGACUAGUUCUCCUAUCCUUUUUAGAUGCUACACAUCAUAGUCUUUUAAAUUCCUUGUACCAAGUCUCUUAAUCCAGGGUUGGUUUCAACACUAAGUUCCAUCUAUUGGUACCUUUAUCGCAAUUAAGUUGUUUCACUCUCAUAUUGUAUAUGUAACUUUGUAGCCUUUGGUGUCAUCUGAUCCUCAUACACAACUCUUAAUCCAUGAGUAUCAGCAAUGACAUAUACCUCCAUGGAUAUUCUCUAAAUGAGAUGAUAUUCUUGAACCAAAAGAAAUUUACCCAGCGUUUGUGAUACUCACGUAUGAUCCAACACUAGUCAAUCCUUCUCGUUGUAACUCCUUUAACUAGGAUAUCCCCCUUAAGAAAAGUCAACUAGGGGACAAAAGGAAGGUAGCUUGCAUAUUUUCCAGACAAGUUGACUAGCACUGAGAGCUUUUGACAUCCCAAAGAACUUGUGUGCAAAAGAAUAAAUAGGUAUCCUGAAAUUUUCUCAUGAUAUGGAAACACCAGUGUAGUAAAACAGGUAUAACUCUUAUUCUGUCAUUCCAAUAGAGUUGUAGCUUAUACUGUUACAAAACUUAUGAAAUUCCCUACAACUUUCAUGUAGAAGACCUCCUUAGAUUCUGUCUUUAAGCUUAGGUAAAACAGUCAAACUUAAUAUCCAUCCUGACAAUGUCUCAGCAAAGGUGCAGUAACUUCCAGAGGUUAUAUCUCGAGCUCCUUAACUCAUCUGGAGAUGAUCCUUAUAUUGUUGAAAAGCUUAUGAAAUCCUCUACAUCUUUCGUGUACAACUCUUUCCCAGAUUCUGAAGUUAAUUUAGCUGAAAGUAGGAAAUACCAGAUCUGUCCAGAUUUUGAAACAGAAAAGAAACAUCCAAGUUUAAAUGUCAUAUCUCCGGUUCUACUUGUACAAUAAAGUUCCAGCUUAUACCGUUGGAAAGCCUAGCAAAUUGUCUAAUAAUUUUCUAUAGAACACGUUUCCAAAUUCUAUAGUUACAUAUGUCUAAACAGUAAGCAACCGAAACUGGUCCAGAUUCUUGACAGCCCAUCUGUAUCAUCUUGUGAUUUUUGUAACUUCCAAAUCAUUCUAGCUAUGAGGGUGAUUCUUGCGGUCAGAGAAAGAUCUUGAAGUCUAGUUGUUCCUAGAAAAAUUUGAUAAACUUUGCAUGAUCAGAACUUGAGAUACACCAGCAUUAUGGCAGACUACUUGAGAAAUCAGCAAGGGAUAGAAACAAGAGAUACCCAAACCCAACUGCUUAUUUCAUUACUCCUUAUGCCUUAGACCUAUAAACUAAAAGAUAUUAUGGAGAAAUCCUACAACAUCAUCGCACUCAUUACAAAGAUCCAAAUCAAGCAUAAGCAUAAUAACAAAACAAUUAAGCAUUGAAGGUUCACACUUCACUCAACUUGCGAUACUAUCGUUCUCUUCAUAAUAAGGGUAAGGAUCCUAAGAUUCUCUUUCAACUACGUAAAGCAGGUGGUAAGAAAAGAUUCUAAUAGCAUACCAAAUCAAAGAGUGAAGGUGGGAACAAGUACUUUUAAAAUAAGCAACAAGGUAAGGAUGAAUAGCGAUGGAAAGGAUAUAGUGGAGAGAAAAAUAUCAAGGCUUACAAAACAAGGAUUUUAUAACAAUUUCAAAAUCUUAAGACGACCAAUUUCUAACUAGGCUUGCAUCCUACAGCCAGCAUUGCUUUGAUACCACUUUGUAAUACCCGAUUUUAAAGACAAAACCAGAUAUGCACCAUAUGCGAGUUUUAAAAGCCAAGUCUCACAUAUAGCUACAAAUAAGGGGUAAUAUCAAAAGACAAUGCAUAAAUUAUAUAACGUACUUAGUAUAAAAGAGAUAACCUUUGAUAAAAAACAGCGGAUAGACAACUCCAAACUUCGGGUAUUAACUUCACUCUACAGGAUCCAACUGACUGGUUGAUCACAAGCCCAAAACUUCUCUUGAGGUGUGGGGGAAAUUGCAAGAGUGAGCACAUAUCGUACUCAACAUGUAUAACCAGGGGUUCAUGAGGCUCAAAUAGCUGACACUGGUUUGACUGCAUGUAGCUUUUAUAUGUAGAUAGCAUAUUUAUCAUUGGAUAGCAAAUGUCAAGGUAGCAUAAUUAAAUCCCAUAACCACAUGAUCAAUGUAUACAAGAAUUAAGAAUAACACAUAUAAACAACAUAAUAAACCAUCCUUUAUUAUCAUUAAUCAUGUUCAUCAGUGUCCAUCUAUUCCGUCAGUUUUUCGGGCCGCCCGUAUCCGUGGGCACGGCUAGUAUACCAGAUUUAACACUCUGCAGAGGUUGUACAUCUUUACCCAUGAGUCAUGAUUUACCCUUUCGCCCGAGGCCCGUCGACCUCUUAGCUCACUUCCGAGGAAAGCCGGCAGGGUUCACUAUGAAGUCUUUCAAAGGUUCGUCUAACAAGUUAGGGCCGCAAGGUUUCCUUUGCGCGCAGAUAUAGAUACCCCCUUCCAAAUGGCACAAUGACGCGCAGCCUAUACACAUAAGGACAGGGGCUCGCACUAUACCCAAAACGGUUCAGCCCCUCCGCCCUUUCGGGUAACCUCUAACAAGCUAGAAAAGCUUACUCAUACUUGACUGAAGCCAGAGCCAUAUAGCCCUCAUGGUUGUACGAGUUGUCCCAGCUUUUGCCAAGGGAUAAGUCCUUAUGGAGGGUCAAGAUCAAUCCGGCAAAAGCCAGAGUUCUUUCCACCCUUUAUAUUCAAGUUGCUAGAAAGCUUAUUUUAUUGUUUAUUGUAUAUUCAAAUAUUCAUGUUACAAGAUCAUGGAUUAUAUUCAAGCACUAGCAAGAACUACCCAAAUGCAUAUCCAAAAUAGGCAACAAGGAAUUCAGGAUAACAAUCAUCUAUGAUUUUGCUAAGGUCAUCAAGGUGGACACAUGCAUAUGAUAAAUGUUAUAUUAAUUGUGUAUAGGAAACAAGGAUGAUCCCCAGUUAUACUUGCCUUGAUCAAAGCUCUCCUGAGCCUGCUACUGGUCGCCAAAAGCUUGACCUUGAUCACCAACGUAAAGCUCACCGACUAAACUCGAUCAUCAAUCAACAACACGCAAUCCAAUGUAGACAAUCAUACACGAAGCAAACAAGCUAUAAUUAGAACAAUACACCAAACAGUGGUAAAACAAAUAUAAAAGUUUAUCAAAAUAUUCUACGCAGCGCUACGAUCACAUAAACGUAAAGUUCGUGAAAAUCGGAGCUAAAAUGGAAAAGUUAUGAAUUUGCUAAGAUUUUAUGUAGAAAAGAAAUUAAUUAAUUAAAAUCACGAAAUUAAAAAGUUUGAAACUGAGUAAACAAUUUUACUAACAUGUAGAGCUCAUGAUUAUGAACCUAACGCAAUUUGAAUGGGUCAAAACGGAAUUAAAAUGAAUAUUUUAUGAUCAUUUUAAAUCUAGUGGCAAUUCUGUAAAUAGCAAAAACGUAAUUAGAACUGAGCCGAGAGAAAAUACGCUUUCAAAAUUGAGAAACGACUUUCCCAGAUGACGCCAAGGACCGCGGGUUGAGCAUUGAAUCUUCUAGGGGCUCUUUAAGAAAAAGACCAGCGAAGGGGUAUCUUCUAAUCUCGAUCGUUGAUCCACGAUCCAACAACUGAGAUUCGAUCUAGGGGGAGGGAGAGGGGAUGGCUGGCCGGAACAGAAACAACGGCGCGGUGGCGCCAUUGACGAGAGUCCUGCUCCUCGCCGGCGUUCGUGGAGAAGGCGCUAGGGACCAUGGUUUUCGAUGGGAAAAGAACCAGGGCGUAGAGGACCUCUGUGCGAACUCACCUAGGGGCUUCACGGGUCGGGGAGGAGCUCGGAAAAGGAUGUUCGACGCGCGGUGGCGCUCGGGUGCUCUGCAGACAGUUCGGCGAAGGUUUAAGAGCAAUAGAUCGCGCUAGAGAGUAAAAGGAAGGGCUCAGCAUCUUCUUCACCUCAACCCGAAGCUCGGCAAGUGGUUUUCGGUGCUCUGGACACAGCAGGUGGCGAAGCCCACGACGGCGACGAAUUCGUUCAUCGUUGAGAUCUGAACCGAGGCGAGAGAGCUGCUGGGGCGGCUUGACGUCGCGUUAAACAGAAGAGGGGGUCGAGAGGGAGGGCACGAGGCUUUAUUGGCCAGGAGAAGAUCUCCUAACGUGCGAAAUCCCGACCUGAGCGGGAUUCGGUUUCCACCGAGAGCCCGAGGUCGGUGUGGACUCGAGGGAGAAGAAAGGAACGGUGGGAGGGGAGACUGACACGCGGGCCCGGGAUGUCAGCGAACAGAGAGAGGAAGGGGAGGGAAGGGCGCGCGGCUGGGCUGUUGGGCCGAAGCAAGCUGGGCCGCGGGAAAAGAAGGAGGAGGCCUUCAGGCCGAUUUUCCAGGGAGAGGUGAGGGUUUCCUAUUAUUUUUUUCUUUUCUUUUCUUUAUUUCAAAGCUAUUUUCAAAUUCGUUUUAAAAUCACUUCGAAUUAUUUUUGAACUUUAAUAAAACCACUCAGCACAAUAAUUAAAAUGCAUAAGCUUGAGUGCACAAAAAUGUUGCUACACCCUAUGAUUGAUUUUAAUUGACUAAAAAUAUUAUUUUUCCUAUAUUUUCAUGAGCACAAAAUACAAAAUUAAAUCAUUUUUCUCCUAUUUAAAAAGUUGUAAAUUUUUGGGUGUUACACUUAGCUUGUGUAAUGCAAUCUCUUAUUGCCUGAUCUCUGAAUCUUUUGCUUAAAAUCAUGUCUCAACUCAAUCUCUGAUCGGUGUAGCAUUUUUACCUUUGGAGUUUGCUUAAUUCAUCUCCAACCUUCCCAAGUAUUGGGAUUCUUAUCGGCUUUGAUCUCAUGUUCCUACCCAACAUGACCGCAUCUCAUAAAUUCAUUGUUGGGUAAUGGCCUUGAUAGGCAUAAGGCGUAUCCAUUUCUGUAUUGUGCCGUGUUCUCAUCCUUUAACCUUCUACUUGUUACCUCCAAAUCUUGCUGUCAUCUUUACUUGCUUUAAUUUUAUCUUGCACAUGAUUCUUGUCCAUGCAAGACCUACCUAUGUCAUGUGAGAUUUCACAUUGGUUGUAAGAUCAAUAAUAUUGUCAUGAUUAACGAUUGGCGGUGCCGUGACGAAACCAAGAGCAUCCUGUGGCUAUAGACACAAGGUCGUGCUGCUCGGCACGCACUGGUAUCGUGGUUGCUAGUCAUGAUCUAUUAUAAAACUACACCACUGUGUUAUCUUCUCAUGGUCUUGUCCUUGGAUAUCUUUCCUUAUCUUCAAUCAAAGGUUCUAUAUCAGACUUAUGUAAUAGGACUUCCUUCUGAAGUUGCUAAGAAGAUAACCUUUGAAGAAUAGGUUACCGACAUAAAUCUUAAUAGACUGUAAGGGGUGGUGGACAAGAGACUCUAUUUGCUACCCAUGUAGCGAUAUCAGUCGUUUAGUGAGUAACUUGUGUCAUCCACUGUUGAAUCCAAAUGGCACACAACACUUAAAGUUGGACAAGUUAUCAGUCAGACAAGAAUUGAUCCAAAUCUUGAUCAUAGUGAUCACAUAGUCAUAAUCAACCAUCUCUAUUGUGAUCUCAUUUUUGGCUAACUUUGAUCUUGACUGCCUACAAAUGGAUCAACUACAAUUGUUGCCACCAAAGAAGAGAGUUUUGGAAAUUUUUAGUGUUCAGAGACAACUGAUUUGUUAUCAGUUAGAAGGUUAAUCACUACCUUGGAAACGACUCCAUGAUAUCCCUGAAGGCUACGUCUCAUAAAAUAGUGUCAUGCAAAGAAAACAAUAAGUUGAUCAACGAUGCAAAUACUAUUUCCUUCUCUAGGCCCUAUGUUGUCAAGUCAAUUCAAUCUUGGACAAUCACAUAGAAGGUACCAAAUGCUAUAUCUAAGUCACAAGCUAGAGAAAAGCACAUCCCUAGUCUCGGUUAGCAUCAUUAUAUGUGUGGUGCUAUCAAAGGUUUUGUUUUGUUUGGUUAGCCAUAUGGUGUUUGUUUGUACUAAAUUUUGGUUAAUCAUCAGAAGACUCUUGGAUCUAUAUACACACUAACAAUUCAUGCAUAAUGAGGCUAGUUUGUGUGGUAUGAACUGAACCAAGAUGAACCUUAGGAUAACCUAGAAAAUACUCCUUGCACCCUUGGACACCUAGCUGUUACCCUAUCACAUCAACCGACAGUUGAGCAAUCUAGGCGUUCUACAAGUCAAAAAUAACUGGAAAGGUGUUAAACAACAAAUCUUAUAUUUAUUAUCUUAGAGCUGUUGUUUGGUCCUAGUAAGGAAUCCUCAAUCUCAAAAGUAGUCUCACCAAGCUAUUCUACUACAAUGCAAGUCGACCCAGAACCUACUAAGUCAUUGCUUAAUGAAGGAAAAUUUUAGUUGACUUGCUUGAUAGUAGCUUGUUUCCCUAGUUCGGUGAAUACUAGCAACUUUUGUUGUCCUCUAGACCUUGCUAUCGCCCAUCUUUAACAAUGCCAAUUUAGUACUAACAUGCCUUGGGUAUCUUCUAUGUUCCUUUUACCCAAGAGGUUGUAUUUGAUACAACCUAGGUAACUGUUAACCCUUGGAGUCAUGAAAUUCCUUGAAUGGUGAGCAUUGACUUGAUAGACUCAGAUAAUACAGUGUUGUUAUCAGAGAAAGAGAACUGCACACAUGGAACCUUAUGUAGCUUUCCAUUGACUGGCAUCUGAAUGAUUAGACCUUAUGACCAAAAUAAACAUUGUUUAUCGGUUAGCUGGUUUCUCAUAACCUCAAAGGAUGUUUAUCUAGUUCAUGAUCUCAUCCCCUACGAAAGGUUGUACUCAAGCCAUUCUGGUAGAGGACUGCUUUUUGAGCCUUAUGAACAUAGAUGGAAACAUUGUAAUGAGUAGUUUACUAUGCUCCAAACCAUCCAUCAUACAUUGGGAAUGAAGUACAUGUGAUAGUGAUGUCUUGAAUUCCUCCCAAAGUAACAAUGCUUCAUGGAAGUCAAUGGAGGAAAUUCUUUAGACAAAAAUUCACUACGAAGAACAAGUAUCAGAAAGUGUCCUGACCAAAUUAGCCUCUCUGAUGCUCGAGGAUAAGUAGUUGACUGCUAUCGCCAAUGUUAGAAGUGAAUAACAUGCUUCUCUACCCUUGGAAGUCUUUCGCCCUAAAUCUCGGGACAAGAUUCUUUUAAGGGGGAGGGUAGUAACACCCUAGGUGUUUGCCACUAGUUAGACCUUAGGUUUGAGCUCAAACAUAUCAUGAUAAGUGGUGAUGAUCAUGUUAAAGUCAAUCAAUGAAAGUGAGCCUCAAGUUUAACUUGGAGAAUGCACCAUUGCUUACAUAUCGGCCCUUUUCAAAGUGCAUGCUUGGGUGACAUUAAUGGAACCUCUUUCAUGUGUCCCACAUCUAUCACUGCCUAUAGUGAUCACUCAAAAAGUUUCAUAAAGUUCGAAAUCAAAAGGUCACAUGAAAUGAUAAGUUACAUACUUGUUGGAAUGACCUCAUUAAGUGAAUGGAACCAUGGGUCAUCAACCAAUAUUUGCAACCUUUCCCAAAUGACUCUAGAUGAACUCUACAACAAAAGUCAUGAAGGGUUCAUGUUGAGCUUGUGCCCAGAAAAUACUUCAAGUGGCCUAAAACCUUAAUUCAUGCUUUAUCAAGUUGCUGCUUUGACCAAAGUGCAAGUUUGAUUUCUAUACUAGUUCUGAGAUUUGACCUUAAAUAAAAGUUGUAUUUUUAGCUUCUGUAGAACAAACAUUGUUUAAUGGUCAAGAGCUAGUUUGGUCCCUAACCUAGACAAAUUGAGCUUACAAGAUUCAAUGCAGUGCUGUUUUGGAACACCAGAAUUUUGGCCAAGUCCUCAAGGUGUUUAGUUUUGGGUAUCCAUGUUGGGAGCUUUGUAUCUUCCAGUCCAGGCCAAAAUGGUAUAAGGUUCUUUAAUAAAAGUUGUAGCAUAGUUUGUAUGCUACAAACUUUGUUAAAGUGCCUAAGUCCGAAUCAUCAUCUAAGCAUAUCAAUUAAUGGUCAUAAUAUUGAAUCUGCUAUAGUUUUCAGCACUUCGAAUUUCUAAGUCUAGGUUUGCAGUUCAUUUCGUAGGCAUCCCGCGUUCUCCUAAUUCUUUUAAACAACUUGCUUGGGUCGCAGAAUAAAAGUUGGAGUACAUAUUGUGGACAAGAGCAUACCGAAAGAUGACACUAGUUCGACUUUUUUUGUCAUCAAUUUCGAGUUUCGCCAAUCACCAUCAAUAUGUUAACACUAGUGGUUUGGCAUCAUGUUAUCUCUUAAUCGGUUACUCUAAUGGCUUUAUACUCUGAAUCAAAGUUGCAGAACAGGCCGAGCUUGGCAUACUUUGGCCCAUGUCCAAAUUCAGCCUGGAAGAAGCCCAAAAUUGACUCCCACCAUGGCUACCCCGGCGCGCACCACCUGCUCGACGAAAUGCUUCAAGAGGUGACACGCGUCCUGGACGUAGCAUUCAUGCAGAGUUCGCGUCCCCACCAUUGCUACAGCGUGCCACUGCCUUCUACUCGCGAUGGGGACACACCAAGCCGUUCCCAGACGGUCCCCACUCCUCCUGCUCGCCCUCACUCCCUUCUCCUCGCUCUCCGCCGCGGGAACGCCGCCGCGUCCGCCGUGGCCGACGGUAUGAGCUCGCACCUGCCGCAAUGCUCGCUGCUCCGCGCCUCCUCAGCCCAAGCUAAGUACCUCAGUGCCUCUGCCGUCUCCUCCUGACUGCACUGAGCUCCAUUUCCGGCCCCAACCAUCGCUGGAGCACCGCCACCGUCGAGAGCAGACCGCCGCCGCCUCCUCCUGCCGUGGCUAGGCCGCCACGGGCCCUCUCCUGGCCAUCCAAGACCACCAGCAAGUGUGCGCUAGCCUACUGGUGCUCCCCCACCACUCCAUCACCGCCGACGAGGCUCCGACUAGCCGGAACACGAAGCUCCAGCGAGUCCUGUGUUUUCGUGCGACCAGGGACCUCGGGAUCGAAUUUGACUAAAGCCAGGGGUUUUUUGCAGAACUCAUGACCCAGAUGAAUAGUGCUUUGAGGACCUAUUUGUUUUGGAGAAAUGCUGUAACUUUGAAAAUCCAUAUAAAAUCAUAGCAAAAUCGUAAAUUAACAAAUGUAGACUUUUUAGAAUCCAUAUGAAAUUCUCUAUGCAGUAGAUCUAUAAUAUACCAUGUUUUAGUUUAAAGUUUUAGCUGUAGAAAAGGUUUUUAAUACUAGUUGAGAUUGUCUUUUUUAUAACUGCUGCUGUAGAGCUCCAAAUGAAGUGAAAUUUAUGUGGCCUGCUAUUCUUGUGAUGUUUGAUGCAUGCUGAAAGUUUCAUGAUUUUUGGUUGCAGUGUGGUUGAGUUAUUGAUUUAACUUGCAUAGGGCUUGAUAAAGGGUUUAUUAUUAUAAUUAAAAAUGUAAAAAUGGAAAAGGUUGUUCUAGUACAAUCCUAUGAUAUCAUUGUAUCAUAUUAAUAUAUAAUAUGGUCAAGUGUUUGAAGAAAAUAUGGUUUGUGCAUUUAUCUUGCUCUCACAUGGUUAAUUCUAAUAGCAAUUUGUCUUUUUCAUAGAUGUUGCUAUGUUUAUUCAAAUGUAAUGAAAUUUGGGCAGUAGACUAUGGAUAGUAUGUAGAAGCUACUAUAAGUUUGGUCGAAUUUAGUGAGCACUUUUGUUAUAUGUUCUUUAAUUCACCUUAUUAUCCAAAUAAAUUAAGAAAGGAAUUAAAUAAAUUUAUUUGGUAAUGACCACUAUGUUUUCUGGUGUUCUUUAGAUAUAUGCCAACUGUUGCUAACAAUGGUUUUGCUCAAAUCCAUGUUUGAAACAUAAGUUAAUAAUUAAUUGUGUGCAAUUGUUGUUUCUGGACAGUUUCUGGAACUGUUUGGAUUACAAUAUGUAAAUGACUUUUUCUGGGAAUCUUGUUCAUAGCAAAGUUGUAGAUAAUUUAUUUAUCUAGCUGCUUUUAAAAUUUGGUAGUAUUUGGCCUUGUGGUUUGUGAGUUAUGUCUAUUCAAAGUUUGAUUCCAGAAAUGGCUGCUCUCUGUUUGUCAGGGACAGAUACUGGAACUUUAUAAUUUCGACCAGCUUCAGUUAAGAAUCAUGCUUUUAUGUAUAAAUAUCAAAUGUAGAUAAUAUCUUAAGAUUUCCAGAAUGUCUUCUUACAUAUAUUUUGGAGUUGUGUAACUCUAGUUAUGAUUUAUUUUCUCAGCUGCUGUUAACAGUCCUAAAAAUUACAGAUUCCUUGUAUUGUUGUUGCUUGGUAUAUUGCUAUGUAUGACUCAUGUCUUUGAUAAUGGCCAAGUUAAUACACCUGAGUGUUGACACUAGCUAACACCACUUAGAUACUAGGUUGUCAUCCCUAGCAUGGCGCCAGAGUGUACAAAGGUAUUUAUAAAUGUAAAGGCUCUCUAGAAAAUAAUCUAUUCUAUCCGCAAGCGCACAGAUAAAACACCUCAUUGUAGCAUUUCACCAGGAUAAGUAUUUCAGGUAUCGUUAUUUAUAAUUUUGCUCAAGGGAUCUAAAGAAGAUGAAAUUAAAUCAUAAAGAAUUAUAAGUUCAUGGGUAGAUAACACAGCGAUUAGAAAAUAGACUACUCCUCAUAUAUGUAGGUGAUGUCAGAUUAGCUAGAGAAUGGAUUCUAAGUUAUCUACUAACUACUAAGUCAUAAUCUACUCUAGUUAUCUACAAGAUCAUAUAUAGCAUAAAAGACUCUUCAUUCAUGUAUAAGGAACAUUGAUAAAGUAAAUCAGAGCAUCGCAUGACUUACUCCACAAUACCGGUUCUGCCUGUCCUAUCAACGGAGGGUGGACUAUAUAUGAAUCAACGAAGCUGUCACUAUCGCGAACUACCACACGACCCGGCCAAUAGGAUACAUUUGCAGAUAAAUAACAUCUAAGCACCACGCUCACAUGUGAUCUAUCACCUAACUCCCUCGCGUCAAGAGCUAAGCGCUUUGCAAACUUAUACAUAAACUCAUUAUCAAUUAGAACUAUAUCAAAUAUAGAACUAGAGCAAACUAAGAACAUAAUAAUUAGAGACAUAAUGCAAUUAGAACAAUAGAAUUAGAUAAAGAUAUGAAUAAUACCAAUCUUUAUUACCGAAGAUCCGAAUCCAGAGCGUAGUGCUCUACUUCUCUAAUUGCUAUCUAAUCAACCUCUAAACUUGAAGGAUUAGGGAGUAGCUAAUUCUAAUUCUCUGUGGGAGAGGUGUUCUAAACCCUAACUUUGAUGGCUACCUCUGAAUAAUGAUUUCUCCUCUCUCCUCCAGGGGCCAGUCUGGUUUUAUAGUCCCCUCAAGUAAACGUGAGCCAUUGGAUCAAACCGACAUAGAUUGUAUGGUUUAGAUUGAUCCUUUAGGUCGGUGGAGCGUAGUCCCGAAGUAGAGUCCCGAUCCAACUUCAACCCUAGGUGGGCGCCCAAGGGGGGUGGGCGGCCGCCCUGCCCCCGAGCCCGAUCGUGCUCUCGUUCGUUCCCGUGGCUUCUGGACUCUUCUAGAUUGAGGAAAAUUGCGCGGCACGUAAUUAUCUCGUUGUAAACAUGACAUGUGGGCCUUCUCUCCAUAUUCUCUGAUAACCCCCUGCAGAAAUAGAUAAACACCAAAACUCGUGGAAUUCUGUCAGAUAAAACCCUAAUUCUAGAUGUUUGUUUCAUAUUGAUCCUUUUUCAUUUUUAUUUGAUUAUUAAUUUUAGUACUUAAGGACCGUCAACAAACUCCCCCAAGCUUACCCUUUGCUCGUCCCUGAGCAAACAGCUAAACUCAGACGGAUCAGGAGUUGCUUCGAUGUUUUCUUUCCUGACAGGUACACAUGCUUUUAAAUAAAAUUCUUCCAGAUUAGAGUGAAGUGUUAUGGAGUUUAGAACCUGCACUUAAGUCUUAAGUAAUCGAAAUACAAAAUAGUUAAGUCAAGCACUAUCCCUCCUGUUUAUACUUCACCUUUGUUCCAGAGUUUUUUAUAAGUUUUCAAAAUAAAACUCAGAGUUCCCAGCAAUGAUUCUCUCAAGUCUCUAUAUAUGUGGUAUUUGUGGAUCCUUACCAUAAUGUCACUUACCUAUAGCUAAUGGAAUAUUUAAGUGGAGCUUAUAGGAGUGAAAAACAGCUCAUACAUAUAUUGUCUAAUCGAGCCAUGGAUCCAAAGGAACUCAGCAUAUAAUUAAAUCAAGAUGUGCAUGUGUGGUGGAGUAAAUGAUAGUGAUGGUGAAAAUGUAUAAGUGUUAAUAAAACUUAGUUCUCAUUGCUCCUCAUAUUGCUACCUCUUCUCUUCUUUGAUCUUUGCUUUUGGAAAACAUGGGCUAUCUUUUCUUUCUUUUUUCUCUUUUUUUUUCAGGUGGGUAGUAGAUACCCCUAAUUCUACUGUCGGACACUUGUCCAUUUUUUCCGCUCAAGUGGGCAUCUUUGUACCCCUAAUUCUACUUCGGACACUUGUCCAUUUUUACCUCUCGUCUCACUCUUUUUCUUUCUUUAUCGAGGUUCCGGGCACUUGCCCCUUUUUAUUUCCUCGCAUAUUUUUGCAUAACCCAUGCCUCUUCUGCAUUGAAUCUUUUUAGAGAGAGAGAAUAACAAUAUUCGGGACAGUGAGUGAAAAUAUUUUUAGCAAUUUUAAUGAAUGGUGAUGGAUGGUGUAGUAGAUGUGUGCAAGUGAAUAUCUUAAUUUAACCACAUGAAAAGCUCCUAAGGGUCUACACAGCUCGAUCAAACUCAAUGUAAAUAUAGUAAAAGAUGUUAUAGCAUGUAUGGUUGUGGUAGGUAGUUUGCAAUGCUAGGAACUCAUCAUGUGAUUUGUAAUUUUUCAAAAUAAAUCUCCAGAACUUAGUGUAGUAGGAACAAGAUAAACAGUAGCUCAACUUUAUAUCAUGCCUUUCUCUUACCUAGACUUUAGUUUUAUGCUUCCAAAGAUAGUAAUUUCAGUUUUAGUAAUUCCUGGAAGAUCUCUAAUAUAAAAGCUAGGUACUUGUAAGUAAGCAAACAGAGCAACUUGUUCAUCAUUUCCAUCAUGCAUCUUUUUGGUCUUUUUAUUUUUCUAGAGAUUAAACUUAGCAGGAAAAUAAAGCACACUUAUCUACACACUCUUUUUAUUUUGUUUUCAUGUUUAUUAAAGUGCAGUGAAUUAAAGCAAGAAAAUAUUUAUUUGGUUUUCUAAGUUUUUCCUUUUAAGAUAAAUUAAAUACUAAGACAGAAUAGAAUAAAUAAGAAGAGCAAAUAAAAACUUACUUGAUAAAUUUGAGAGGAACUCCCCCAAGCUGGAUGUUGCCGUCGGUCUUACCCGAUGUUCCAGAACCGCAUCAUGGUUGUAAUGUUGUCGUUCAUUGUUGUUGUAUCUUGUCUUAGGUCUUCUACUGCAGCUGCAUGGUCUUGGUUCCAUUUUUGUUGUUCUUCCAGGAGUCUUCCAUGUUCUGCUUGCGUGUUCUGGAUGUCGAGGAGGGUGUUGUCGGUGCGAGUGAAGAAAGCACCGGCCUCUUGAUAGUAGUCAUUCGUGAAAGCGUAGGAGGCGUCGGAGUAUCGUCCUGCAUCAAAUUGGGGCGGAGGUCUCGAUCCUGAAGCUCCGUAUGGAUCAGUCGAGUACCUCCCCGUAUGGAAAGGCGGGUUUGUCCACUGGUGAUCUUGGCUCUCCGGCCAUGUCUCCUCUGUUGGCUCUUGUGGUUGCGCAUGUCGAGCCCAUGGGUCUCGAAGGACUCGAGGGUUGUAAUCGCAAUAAUGCAGGUGCGCUGCUUCUUCUGGUCCAGGGUUAGCUCCAUACCAGGUGCGUUCUCGGUGAGUGGUUAUCCUUUCGGAAGCCACUCGCUGUGGAGUUCUCUGGUUCACUGGUGUUGCUGCAAUGUCAAUCAAAAAGUUUUGCACAACGUAGAGGCCAAGGUUUGGGUUAGGUAACCGAAUCUUGCCUUUAUCAUCAUAUAGCAUAUACAUUAUAUUUCCCUCUUUCUUUAACAUCCGAGCUUGUCUAAAUGUGUCAUAGCCAUGAUAAAUUCUUAAUUCUUCUAUGAAAUCCAACGAUGAGUUUUCUAGUAAGUGAAGAUUAGAAGCUAGACGAGUGAUAAGUGAAGUACAUCCUACUGGUCCCUGAAGACUAGGUAUACUAAGGCAAUGUGAAACUAAUAGUGUAACAGGUGAAGUGGGUACUUUACUAAUAGCAGCAUAUAAAAGUUGUAAAUCUCCUACUCUUACUUUCCUAAUAUCAUCACGAUAGAAAAGAUUGUACCCAAGCCAUUUGUGGAACAUCCUAAGAGUGGGGUGUUCCAUGUCACUGGUUCGGGCUUGACUGUAAAAAUUAUCUCUAGAUAUUUCUCUCUAAAAUUGGUGUCUCUCAAAAUUGGGUAAAUCGGAGUCAAUGUUCAGGAUGCAUCUUGAAGAGAAACCAAGAUGGUCGCUUAGCUCUCUCCAAGACAACAUAAUUUCCUCUUUGAACAUCCGAAAAACAAUUCCCCCCUCAUAGUAUUGUAAAGUGCAAAGAAAUUCGAGGGUGAGAAGACGAGAACCUAGCUCAGUUAUAUUCCAAAAAUUUAUCCAACCUAACAUCUGGAAAAUUAAGUCAAAUUCAGUGUCCAUACCUGUUUCUUGUAGUAAGAUUGGAUCGAUAGUAGGGGUGUGAAUGAAAUCUUUGUUCUUCAGUUGCUGAUAGACUUCCUUCUCUCUUCGAGUCUUCAGUCCAAGGUCUCCUAUCUUGAGAAGGACCUUAACUUGCUGACCUGAUGAAGAUGAUGGAGCUUGUGUGGGUGUCGGGUCGACGCUCAUCUCUGAUGGCUGUGAGGAGUGUCGAGCUGAACUCCUUGUACCAAUGUUCUUGAGAGCUUUUCCUGCAUCCUUCACCUUCUUAAACAUCCUGCAAACAAAAGUUGGCAAAAACAACUUUUACUUCUGCUUAGACAACGGGAUCACUGCUUGGUAAGUGAUACUCACUCUCUAUCAACUUCUUUCCCACUCUUCUCUUUCUUUCUACUCUCUUCUCUCUUCACUACAAGAGCUCUUUUUGGAAACUGAUACUUGUGUGGUUUUCUGGAGUGCUUGUGUGAAGAAGAUGGAGGUAGAAGGUGGCUAUUUAUAGGAGGAAGAGGGAGCAGGGCGGGCGCCCUAGGUAGGUGGGCGGGCGCCCACUCCUGGUGUCCAUCCUGGGUAUGCCUCUUCCACUUGCUUCCUUGCUUUGAUCUUACGCAGAAUAAUGUUGUGUGGUGGUAAGAUGUCUGGUGAGUGGAAACAUAUUGGUGGAUGAAAUAAUGUGAUGGGAUGUAUGUGAGGUGUGGUGUAUGACAUGUGGGACCCAAGGAGUGUGGGUCAUGCUUCUAGAAGGUUACGAUUAUUAAAUAUAAUGCAGGAAAAUCUAUGACAAUUGAAACUUAAUUAAAAUGAUAAUGGAAAAUAUUUUUGUGCCUCCACAAUAAUUAAUAAAUAUGGGUUGUUACACACCAUGAAUAUUAUUUAUAUGGGGCUUUUCAUUAUUAUAAUAAUGCUAUGAAUAAAUAUGACUAAUGCAAGAAUUAAUUAUGCAAGAAUUUAAAUAUGAGAAAAUUAAUAAUGCGGAUAAUUACCGAUUUACCUCCCGGUGAGGGUUUGGGAUUUUUAGGUCCCCCAAGCUGGACCUCCAAAUCUUUUAAUCUUCUGAGUUACCUUCCUCUAGAGAUAGUGUCUCCAGUGGUUCUUCAUGAACUUCCUUCACUGUAGAGUCUCUCUCUGGUCUGGGUUUGAAUGUGAAGUGUUCUUCUUGACCGUUUAUGUUGAACUUGAUUUCUCCCUUCCCGACAUCAAUGUGAGCAUUGGCAGUGCUCAGAAAUGGCCUUCCAAGGAUGAUGGACACUUUUGAGUCAGGACUCAUGUCCAGUACUACGAAGUCUACCAGCACAAGGAAAUCUCUGAUCUUGACUGGAAUGUUCUCGGCGAUACCCAGCGGGUGUCGAACCGAUUGAUCCGCUAGUUGUAGACACAUUGAUGUUGGUUCUAAGGUUGCAUGAUCAAGCUUUUUGUAGACUGAUGCUGGCAUCACACUGACACUUGCUCCGAGAUCACAAAGUGCAUUGUUGAAGUGUUGGUUUUCGAUCGAGCAAUCAAUAGUGGGACAUCCAGGAUCUUCCUUCUUCUUUGGUGGUUUAUUGAGGAUGGCCGCACUACAUUCUUCUGUCAGCUUGAUAACCUCAGUGGUGGGCAGUGGCCUCUUCUUGUUAAGAAUAUCUCUGUUGUACUUUGCAUAUGUAGGUACCUGUAUGGCAUCGAGCAGAGGUAUGUUGACAUAUAAUUUCUGAAUGACCUCUACAAACUUACCAAACUGCUCAUCCGACUGCAGUCCUCUGUUUCUUCUAGGAAAUGGCAAAUAGUUGGUGUCAUAAAAAUCUUUCCUCAUUUCUCCAGUUCUUGGUGGUUGUGGCAGAUCUUCUGCUCCAACUGGGCUUUCUUCUUCUAUCACUGCUGGUUGCACUGGUGCUGAUGUUCCUUGUUUCUCUUUUGGGUAUGGUGGAUCUCUGGUAGCUUUGCCUCCUCUAGUAGUUAUAUUCUUCACCUUUGCUAUUGGGUUGACUCGAAGUUGGUUGAUAUUUGUAUGCUGUCUCAAUGGCCCUUUGAUCUUCUUUAAACUUGGCCCUCUGGUCAAUCCAAUGGAGCAAAUUUUCCAUCUUAGUUGAUAAUGCAUUUACUUCUUCUAGUAUUUCUUCAGUUUGAUGACAAUGUUGAGCUUUAUCUUGGAACCAGCUUUGGUUUUCUGCUAUCUUAUCCAAAAGUAUCUCUGCUUUUCCAGUUGUAAGCUCCAAGAAUGAUCCUUUAGCAGAUGCAUCUAGGCACUCACGAGCCUUCUGGGUUAAUCCAUGGUAGAAGGUCUGCAUAAGUAACCAUGUGGCUAUUCCAUGUUGAGGACAAUCUGAUAUUUAUCCUUGAAAACGCUCCCAUGCUUCUGAAAUGGCUUCUGUCUUCUGCUGUUGGAAACUGAUAAUAUUUCCUCUUAAGGCAGUUGUUUUUCCUAUAGAGAAAAACUUUGAUAGAAAGGCAUCUGACAAGUUCGUCCAGUUGUUGAUGUUAUCUUGAUGAGUGUAGAACCACUUCCUCGCUUUUCCUUCUAGUGAGAAUGGAAAAAGACGAAGUAGUAUGACGUCUUUGUCAACUCCGUUGAUGUGGAUUGUGCUUCCAAUCUCUAAGAAAUUCUGCAAGUGUGCACUAGCAUCUUCAUGUGUCUUUCCACUGAAUUGUGUAGCUUGCACCAAAUUGAUGAGGCUUGACUUGAGCUCAAACUCGGGUAUUCCUUCUUCUACUGCAAAUCUUGGACUCGUUGGAAUGUUGUCAAGACUUGGAGCAGAGAAUUCUUGCAAGGUCUUUUGUGCCAUAGCUUCAGCAAUUGCUAGCUAGCUUCUUCUUCUCUUGAUUGCUUUGGUUCUGAUGACGAAGAGUUGAAUGUACCCAAAGUCAAUCCUGUUAUACCCUGUAUAAAAAUAUAAACAUAGAAAGACAACAGGGUGAACCUGCCAAAGCAGAGGUGCCUUGUUAUGAUUUCUCACUUAGUAGCUGUUUUUAUGCAAUUAUUUCUCUAUAGUGUAGUCUAAUAUUUUAUAUGAAUAACCUUGACUGAUUUUCUGGCUUUCCUAGGCAUUACCCUUUUGUUCCCUUUUAUGACUUAUUCCUGAGACUCGUAUAAAUUCCUAUAAGUUCCCCGGCAACGGCGCCAGAAAUGCUUGUUGACACUAGCUAACACCACUUAGAUACUAGGUUGUCAUCCCUAGCAUGGCGCCAGAGUGUACAAAGGUAUUUAUAAAUGUAAAGGCUCUCUAGAAAAUAAUCUAUUCUAUCCGCAAGCGCAUAGAUAAAACACCUCAUUGUAGCAUUUCACCAGGAUAAGUAUUCCAGGUAUCGUUAUUUAUAAUUUUGCUCAAGGGAUCUAAAGAAGAUGAAAUUAAAUCAAGGGGCAAAAUCUAUCAAGGCAUAGACUAGAGAUAAACUUGCAAGAACAUGAUUACUAAUGAGAAACUCGUCACACAGUCACAUACUUUAGCAGGGGGUAAACCAUAAAGAUAAUGAUAAUGAAUUAUAAGUUCAUGGGUAGAUAACACAGCGAUUAGAAAAUAGACUACUCCUCAUAUAUGUAGGUGAUGUCGGAUUAGCUAGAGAAUGGAUUCUAAGUUAUCUACUAACUGCUAAGUCAUAAUCUACUCUAGUUAUCUACAAGAUCAUAUAUAGCAUAAAAGACUCUUCAUUCAUGUAUAAGGAACAUUGAUAAAGUAAAUCAGAGCAUCGCAUGACUUACUCCACAAUACCGGUUCUGCCUGUCCUAUCAACGGAGGGUGGACUAUAUAAGAAUCAACGAAGCUGUCACUAUCGCGAACUACCACACGACCCGGCCAAUAGGAUACAUUUGCAGAUAAAUAACAUCUAAGCACCAUGCUCACAUGUGAUCUAUCACCUAACUCCCUCGUGUCAAGAGCUAAGCGCUUUGCAAACUUAUACAUAAACUCAUUAUCAAUUAGAACUAUAUCAAAUAUAGAACUAGAGCAAACUAAGAACAUAAUAAUUAGAGACAUAAUGCAAUUAGAACAAUAGAAUUAGAGAAAGAUAUGAAUAAUACCAAUCUUUAUUACCGAAGAUCCGAAUCCAGAGCGUAGUGCUCUAUUUCUCUAAUUGCUAUCUAAUCAACCUCUAAACUUGAAGGAUUUGGGUGUAGCUAAUUCUAAUUCUCUGUGGGAGAGAAGUUCUAAACCCUAAAGUGAAUAAUGAUUUAUUUGAAUAAUGAUUUCUCCUCUCUCCUCUAGGGGCCAGGGGGUCUGGUUUUAUAGUCCCCUCAAGUGAACGUGAGCCAUUGGAUCAAACCGACAUAGAUUGUAUGGUUUAGAUUGAUCCUUUAGGUCGGUGGAGCGUAGUCCCGAAGCAGAGUCCCGAUCCAACUCCAACCCUGGGCGGGCGCCCAAGGGGGGAGGGCGGCCGCCCUGCCCCCGAGCCCGAUCGUGCUCUCGUUCGUUCCCGUGGCUUCUGGACUCUUCUAGAUUGAGGAAAAUUGCGCGGCACGUAAUUAUCUCGUUGUAAACAUGACAUAUUCUCUGAUAACCCCCUGUAGAAAUAGAUAAACACCAAAACUCGUGGAAUUCUGUCAGAUAAAACCCUAAUUCUAGAUGUUUGUUUCAUAUUGAUCCUUUUUCAUGUUUAUUUGAAUAUUAAUUUUAGUACUUAAGGACCGUCAACACUGAGAUCUUGUGAAACAUGUAUGCCAUGCCUGAUAUACUUGGUUGCAUCUAUUUCUAUCUUAGUACGUUGAUUGUGUUAUGUUACUUAAGCAACAUGAAACACACAUGUAUGUGUAGAGUAACAUGAUACUUGUCUGCUUACUGUAUAUCAUGCAUUGUCUAUUGCACUUCUAUGUGUUCAUACACUUGCAUCUUGCAUCUCAUUUAGGUAUGCUAGAUGAACCACGUGAAGGACAUGAUGGUGGAUCUAUCGGAAUGAUGGAAGGACUACACAAGUGUUGCGAACUUGGAUGUCGUCAAGAUGAAGCAAGAUAACUUAACUGACUUGUGUCAGAUUCCAGGCAAGCCCCAGAGCAUUCUAAGUCUCCUACCCUCUCUUUUUAUAAAAGCACAAGAGUAUACCUUUAUAUGUUGCAUUAGGUGAUAGGAGUUGAAUGAAACCGUUGGUGCAUAUUUCCUACCUUGUCCACUAUAUGUAACUACCUGAACCCUUACUAGUAUAAGGAAGACGUUCUAUGCAUAGCUAUGCUUAGCUCGGUAGAAGCCAGGUGAUUUCCUGUCACCUGCGAGAGAUAGGUGGAUACCUGAUCACAGUUGGUUAUAUUUGCUAUCGUAGAAAUAACCAUGUGUAAUAAUGAAUGGAGACCGGGCGGGAUGACGAUGUGAAACAACAAGGCAUGGAGGUCUUGGGUGUGGAUCUAUCCCUGUCUAUGUCGUUUAAGGACCGAUACGCUGUACAUCCUCUCAUCAUGUUGCACGCAUGCCUAACACUUAGUUGGCCAGAUAAGUCGUUCCGACCGUGAAGGCUAUGAGUGCAAAUCCGGCCGGAUACCCCAUUCGGUUUAUGUGCGCACCUAAAAGCCCAAGUUUGGUUUUGGUAAUUAAUGACACCAAGUUGCUAACGCCUUGUAUUUAAGUGAUUUGAGUUAGGCAUAGCAACACAUGUGAUGAAGGUGCAUGGUGGCAUGGAAAGGUGGCCACAUGAUUACAAAGAGAUGAAGCAUGAAGUGGGGAUCAUGGUGAUAUACAAGGAGUAAAGUGAACAAGGCAAAGGUAUAAACAUAGGGUUUUGCUUUUGCCGGUCUAAGUUGAGUAGAGAAGUGUGUGACCGGGUUUAGGAUAGAUAGCCGACUAUCAAGAGGGGAAAUCACGGUCAUCUCUUGAAUCAAGUGCUACUAGGUCCAUAUCUUGAGCAUAUGCAUUAGGAUCUAGUAAAGUGCUAACUUAACUCCUUUGGUGAAAAUGUUUGUGAAAAGCUAACACACAUGCACUUUGGUGGUGGACUCUAGUUGGUGUUAGCACUCAUUGUCGGUGCUUUUUGAGAAAAUUAAGUGUAUAUUUUCUAUUGCGCCAGUGGAAAAUUUGGAGAAGUCACGGGGGAGAAACACUCACCGGACGCUGGCCUUGGAGGAACCGAACGCAGAGGCUGUGCGUCCGGUGUGCAGUAGUGCUUGGCUCUGCUAGGGUAAGGCAUCGGACGCUAGGCAUCAGACGCAGGAGAGAUCCUGUUGACACGUCCGGUGUGACUUGACUUCAGCUGGUGUGUUUGGUUGGUAGCACCGGACGCUUAGAGCGCGUCCGGUGAGGAGUGUCCGAUGCUCUGCACUUCUGCAAUGCUCUCUGGGUUUUAGACUAGUGAGCACCGGACGGUCCAGUGCUCAGCGUCCGGUGACCCUGCAAGUUUGCAGACUUCUCUGUGUUUAUGACCGGUGUGCACCAGAAGUGUCCGGUGCCAACUUAGUCGCGUCCGGUGGUCCGCAGGUGACCGUUAAAGUUUGAUGCGUGAGUUUCAAAGGAGGACACAUGGCCAACCCCUGAGCACCGGACGCUAGAGGUCGAGCGUCCGGUGAUCACUUGGUAGCGUCUGGUGCCCCCGUUUUCAGCCCAAUCAAUGUAGCCAACGGCUAUUUCCUUGAGGGGCUUAUAAAUAGGAGGUGGCCGGCUUUAGGAGGUCAACUCUUGCACAUUUGAAUACUUGAGGCAUACUUUGAGCUAGAGAACACUCCUUCCACUCAUCUCCUUGCUUGUUUGCUAAUCCUAUUGAGAUUGAGUGAGAUUCAAGUGCAUUGCUUUGAGAGUUGCAAUUAGUGGCACUUGAUUCUUGAGUUUGCUGCGGUUUUCUUGUUACUCUUGGGUGUUUCCCGAUGCCCUAGACGGCUUGGAGCAGCGGUGGUGUUGAGCUCAUGAUUGGAGAUUGUUUCGAGCCUCCCCAAGUGAUUUAUGAGGGGUUCUUGAGCCUUCCCCAUGGGAGAUCGCAAUUGGCUACUCUAGUGGAUUGCUCGUGGCUUGGAGGAUCCCCAUCUUGUGAGUGGAUGUGUGGCACCCGCUGAGGGUUUGGCUUUGGAUUGCCAAUUAGCUCGUGAUCCAUCAAGUGGGUGUAUCGCCACAACGAGGACUAGCUUGCCGAGAAGCAAAUGAACCUUGGUAAAAAUAUUGUGUCAUCUCUUGCCGAGGAUUCUCUUGUAAUUGUGAUUAAUUGAUUGGUUGUAUUUCUACUCUACAACGUUGGUAUAACAAUCACUCCCCUCUCCUUUCCUUAUGUGCAUACCUUGCUAGUUGUGUAGCUUGUUUAGCUUAGCUUUCUUGUUGUAACUAGUGUUUAGCUUUCUUUCUAGACUUGUCUAGGUGGCUUGCAUAGCUUAGUUGUGCUAGUGCUAGAAUAGCUUUGCCUUUUGUUUUACUAAUCAACUUUUCUAGUUGAAGUUUGUAGAAAAUUUAAAUAGGCUAUUCACCCACCCUCUAGCCAUUUGGACCUUUAUGCACCCCGGUUGGUAGCAAGGAUGUGCGGGGAGUCAAUGGCGUAAGACCGAGGUGUCAGGUUAGAGUCCUGACCGUGGCAGAUUGGCAGUCUGAAAGAGCAUCUAGGCCCCUAGUGAUUUUGGUGAUUAAUGACAAUGUUGAUUACUAUGACUAACGUGUGUUUUGCAGAGGCAAAGUCAUAGGUAUAGUCAUGGUAAUAGGUACUCAAUGGACAGGGACGUACAUGCCUACUUCAUAGUGGAAAUCGUUUCGGUUUUCAAAGGAUGGAUGGACAUCGUCAAGACUAGACUAGGUCUAAGUGCCAUAUGGUGAAGAAGGGCAAUUAGAGUAGUUUAGGACUUUGUUUUCCUUUGACCGUACUAUUAAGAGGGGUUUUGAUCUAGUAGCUUGACUUAGGCAAGGCUUUAGGUUUAGGUGUGGUGCACACUUGGUAAACCUAGCACUAGGCAGCUCAGAGAUAGUCCUUAGAUCGAGAGGAACCAACUUUGUUUUGGAGCGAUUGCGUUUCGAUGAAGUUAGGGUGCCCAAGGGGGCACCGGACGCUGCACUGGACGCUCUGUGAGUGCGUCCUGUGAGGUCCUUAGCCAUUGAGAGUUUGGGUGCCUUAGGGUUAGGCACCGGACGCUGGCACCGGACUCACCGGGCAGCGUCCGGUCCCACACCCAGGGAGGUUGCAAACUUCCCUUGAGCACCGGACGCACCGGGUAGCGUCCGGUCCCAUACUCAGGGAGUUUGUAAAACUCCCCGGAGCACCGGACGGUGCCACCAGACGCUAAGAGGUAGCGUCCGGUGACCUGUCAGACGCAGGUAUAGUUAGCCGGAGUGUGUGUUGACACUAGCUAACACCACUUAGAUACUAGGUUGUCAUCCCCAGCAUGGUGCCAGAGUGUACAAAGGUAUUUAUAAAUGUCAAGGCUCUCUAGAAAAUAAUCUAUUCUAUCAAUAAGCACACAGAUAAAACACCUCAUUGUAGCAUUUCAGCAGGAUAAGUAUUCCAGGUAUCGUUAUUUAUAAUUUUGCUUAAGAGAACAAAAGGGAUGAAAUUAAAAUAAGGACAAAAUCUAUCAAGGCAUAGACUAGAGAUAAACUUGUAAGAACAUGAUUACUAACGAGAAACUCGUCACACAGUCACUUACUUUGGCAGGGGGUAAACCAUAAAGAUAAUGAUAAUGAAUUAUAAGUUCAAGGGUAAAUAACACAGCGAUUAGAAAAUGGACUACUCCUCAUAUAUGUAGGUGAUGUCGGAUUAGCUAGAGAAUGGAUUCUAAGUUAUCUACUAUCUAUUAAGUCAUAAUCUACUCUAGUUAUCUACAAGAUAAUGUAUAGCAUAUAAGACUCUUCAUUCAUGUAUAAGGAACAUUGCUAAAGUAAAUCAGAACAUCACAAGACUUACUCCGCAAUACAAAUUCUACCUAUCCAAUCAACGGAGGGUGGACUAUAUAAGAAUCAACGAAGCUGUCACUAUCGCAAACUACCACACGACCCGACCAAUAGGAUACAUUUGCAGGUAAAUAACAUCUAAGCACCACGCCCACAUGUGAUCUACCACUUAACUCCCUCGCGUCAAGAGCUAAGCGCAUUGCAAACUUAUACAUAAACUCAUUAUCAAUCAUAACUAUAUCAAAUAUAGAACUAGAGCAAACUAAGAACAUAAUAAAUAGAGACAUAAUGCAAUUAGAACAAAGUAUUAGAGAAAGAUAUGAAUAAUACCAAUCUUUAUUACCGAAGAUCCGAAUCCAGAGCGUAGUGCUCUACUUCUCUAAUUGCUAUCUAAUCAAACCUCUAUACUUGAAGGAUUAGGGAGUAGCUAAUUCUAAUUCUCUGUGGGAGAGAAGCUCUAAACCCUAACUUUGAUGGCUACAUCUGAAUAAUGAUUUCUUCUCUUCUCUUCGCUCCCCCAGGAGUGGAGAGGCCUUGGUUAUAUAGUCCUUUCAAGUGAAUUUGGGCCGUUGGAUCAAACCGACAUUGAUUGUAUGGUUUAGAUUCAUCCUUGAGGUCGGUGGAGUUUAGUCCCGAAAGAGAGUCCUGAUUGGAUUCUAACCCUGGGCGGGCGCCCUGCUCCCAAGCCCGAUCAUCUUCUCGUUCGUUCCCGUGGCUUCUGGACUCUUCUAGAUUGAGGAAAAUUGCGCGGCACGUAAUUAUCUCGUUGUAAACAUGACAUGUGGGCCUUCUCUCCAUAUUCUCUGAUAACCCCCUGCAGAAAUAGAUAAACACCAAAGCUAGUGGAAUUCUGUCAGAUAAAACCCUAAUUCUAGAUGUUGAUUUCAUUUGGAUUCUAGAAAUAGAUAAACGCCAUUUGGAGUUCUGUGUUUGAAGAACCUUUGUGUCCGAGUUGGUACCUUGUAUGCCCCAGCAGACUUCGUAGUGGUAGAGACCGGAAAUGAUGAGAGAGCACCCAUCAUCUUAGGGAGGCCAUUCUUGAACACCACGGGAGCUAUCAUCUACGCUAGAGCUGCCAAGAUCAGUUUUUACGUCAAAGGGAGGAAGGAGACAUUUUUCUUUAAGAACAAGACUACACAAAUUCCAGAUCAAUCCAGACGUGAAUCAAGGAAGAGGACCAACAGGAGAAAUAGGAACAAGCAAGUGUGGACCAAGUCAGCUAAGAUGGUCACUGUAGUUCAUGGAGGUCAAGAUCAACAACUUAAAUCACCGUUUUUGACUAAGAAGGACGACCCAGGAAUGCCAAGCAUCUAUUGCUCCAUAAAUGGAUACAACUUCUACAAGACGACUUGUGACACCGGAUCGGGCGUCAACAUAAUGGCCGCAGUCACCUAUCGGCUCUUGUUCGGAACCAUGCCCCUAAAACCAACAUACAUUCAGCUCCAGAUGGCAGAUCAGACAUUUCGAGAAGUUAAAGGAACAGUAUCUGAUGUCCCAGUCAAAAUAGACGAUCAUUUUGUCUACACAGACUUUCAGGUUAUUGACAUGGGAGAAGACGAGUACGAUCCACCCAUCAUCCUUGGAAGACCGUUCCUCAGCACCGUUAAAGCAAUCAUCUACAUUGGAACCGGAGAAGUCCAUAUGCACUUCCCCUCAGAGAAGGUACGCCAUUAUUUUACUGACCCUAACUAUAUCGUUGAAGAAUCUAAGUAGGUCAGAAAGAGACGCAACCGCAACCAGAGGAGGCAAACCAUCAAGGACCGAUGGGCAGACUACGAAGGAGAAGUGAUAAGGUCAGAAGACGUAGAGUUUAAACAGAAUUAUCCUAAGGAGACCGAAGCACCGAGUCAGGUAUGGAAAGAGAAGAUAACUAUACAUGAAGAGGAGGCGCCGCCGGAAGUACCGACUCCGCCACCCAACGAAUCCCAGGACAAUUAAGAAAACGGAGAGUCCCAUUCGGAGGACUUAAAAACACCGAACGCCUUGCCAAGAGGUAAACUUGGUAGUUAUCCUUUCCCUUUCAAUUAUUUCAAAUAGUCUACUUAGUUAAUCAUGUUCAUGCUACCCUAAAGAGAAAAUAAAAAUGUGAAAAAUAGUAAGCCCCAUGUGAGUAUGCAAGUGGCAUAAAACCCAUAAGUACAUUCACUGUGGUGGCAUAAAAAUAAAAUAAAUAUUUUCUGCUUUAUAAAAUGAAAAUAUAAAAAUAGGGAGUAAUAAUUGUUAAGGAGUCUCAACAUGAUAAAGGCUAGAUAUUUAUGCUAACAUUUAAUCAGUUCCACGAGCUUUGUUGUCUAUUUGAGCUCCACAGAAUUUAAGAAUCAAGAAGACUAGCAGACGGAGGACAUUCUAAUCGUUGUCAGAAUGCUGCUGACUUUCAAAUACACCUCUGCCACCUGCUAGCUACAUCAAGAGAAAUUACGUCAAAAUUCAGCUUGGGGGAGAGCACCCCCAUUUAUCUCGAUAAGUAUUUCUAUCUAUCUAUCUUUAUAUUUCUACUAUAUUAAAAUAUAAUUAUGGAAAACCAAAUAAAGAUUUUAUGCUUAUAUAUAUACCUUUUGCUUAGUGUGUUUAAUAAAUAAAUAAAGUGGCUAUGCUAAUCUGUAUCUAAAUAAAACUCUAGCAUGGAUAUGAUGAAUAGUUGCUCUGCCUAAUUUGUACAUUUUAAGUUCUCUCUCAAGUUUAGAUAUAACUGUUAUAAUUUAAAGCUUGCUCUAGACCUAAACUUGUGGGAUGAAAACUUGAUCUAAAGUCUAAGUUGUUAACGGAUACGAUAUGGGAAGGCUAAGCUGUUGUUUAUCUGUUUCCAGAGAUGCUGGAAAUCUGGAGAAUUUUAUCUUUGAAAAUCUUUAAAAUGUUGCAUGAUGAGUUCCUGUAUGAUGAGAGUUUUAAAUUCCUACCACAGCCAUAUAUACAUGCUUGCUAGAUUUUGAGCCACACAUUUACUAUUUAUUGCUUAUGAGCAUUGAGUGUGGUCAAGCUGUGUAGACCCUUAGGAUCUUGUCAUGUGGUUAAAUCAAGAUUUCACUUGCACGUUCACUCAUAUAUGCUACUUCUACUCCGAAAGUACCAUCCACAUAUAUCCAUCCAUUUCCAUCUCCAGAAUCACCCAAAAAUAUUCUACUGCUAAUCCGGGAGAGAAUAACCAAAAAUAUUUGUCGAGGGUAUCAGUAAGGGGUACCCUAACUGACGCACAUAACGAGAUUACCCGUGCACAGAUCGAGGCCCUCAACUCGACGUACUAAUAAGCCGUGCAGUCAUCGACGGCCGCAGCCUCGAAGACGGAAAAGACGUCGAGCGAACCACUCAAGGGUCGAGCGCUAACUAUCGUCGAAUACGAAAAUGGGCUCGAGCGAAUCGGGAGGCAUUGAGCGCAAGGACACUGUCCGCCGCCUGACGCGCGCACGAGAGCCAGGGCAUUUAAUGCGCCUGUCGCUUUCCCACCUAACACGCUGUUCACGGGAAGCGUGAUAGGGAAUAGGCACCCGUCCCAUCAUUCUUUUUGCAGCUUUCCCCACCAAACGGCUCAGAGCGUACCAGGACGCGGGAAGCAGGGAUGGGAGCGUCUAAUCGGGACCUCCUCGAGGCACCCAAGGUCAACGCUUUGGACAACAAGGCACUGCACGGCGUCUGACCCUCGACCAGGCAAGAUUCCUUCCUGGGGAAGAGUUGGGCGUCGACUGACAACACCGCAGCCACUCCGCCGGAUCUGCCGCUAUACCGUACAGGCGUGCGACCGAUGAACCAGGCCGAGACGGCGCGCAGAGCAGGAUACGAGGGCACGCGUAAUCAUCAUCAAGCUACCAAGACGGGACGGCUCGAGACCACGCCGGUACGGAGGCCUCGAGUAGGUCAGCGCGCCAUGCCUCUAUCGACCCCUACUCUGACACCUAUACGUGUACCCUAGGUCUCUCCUUGGAGCUAUAAAAGGGGAGACCCGAGAAUAGACACACAUCACCACACAACGCUACACCCGCACGUAGUAGAGACUCCACACUCCAUUCUACCCGAGCUUGUAUUCACCCCUGUACAAGCACUUAGGUGCAAAAUAAUACAAACUCUCCCCCCCGCUGGACGUAGGGCCUUCUCUUGCCCGAACCAGGAUAAAUCUUUGUGUGUCUUUUUGCGUCACCAUCUCGGAAAGGGAGCACGCAUACAAAUUUACUCGUUGUUGUGACCCCCCGUGGGGAAAACACCGACAGUUGGCGCGCCAGGUAGGGGUCCUGCGUGUUUUUUCAUCGAUUUCCCACUCCUUUCCAGAUGGCCACUCUCGCCUCGCCGAUUCCGCGCCCCACGGUGAUUUGGUUUGGGAGCCUUGAGUUCGUGUUGACUGGCUCCGGCUACGACAUGAUCUUGCUCUCGAUCAAAGGACCGGGAGGAGCCCGCGUUACACCAGCGCAAACAAGGGCCCCGAGACGCCCUCGACAUCAUGCCUCCCUGCCAAAGAAGAGGCAUGGGCAGCACCACCGUCACCCCUCUGCCUCGUCACGACCGGCAGUUCGUGCAAGGCAGGAGGUGGCACAGGAGCCGGCCGCGCCGCGUACCGGAACCGUGGGCAUGCCGGCCCAACAUCAUACGACGGCAAGAGGUGACGCGCCCCGAGCGCUCUCCUUCACCACUAGGUUGCUUCCACAUGGGUUGUUCACCCCAAGAAGGGCAUUGCCAUUCAGGUUGGACAACGCCGCGACGUCGCUCGCUAGGGCGAUAUGCCCAAAUGCCCAAACGUACGUGGAAAGACCAAUGGUCCUCCCACGUGACUCUGAAGCACGCCCGCCGACGUCCGAGUUGCCAGACCUCUCCCGGGUACGAGGCCUCCGCCGCCUAGGCCCUGGACGAUACACGAUCACCUCGCUCAGGGAGCGGCUGCUGGAGGAAAGACGUGGAUGUUACUACGCCGCCGAGCCAGACUCCGACUCCGAGCGCGAUAGCUACGACCCUACAAGGGAAUGCUAUCACAUCGACAGGGCGGUAGAAACUACCGACGAGACACAGGAUGCGGCUGCCGGCGGUCGAGCCCCUGCGGCAAGAGAAGAUCCCAGGACACCUGGGAACGAUGGACAGGUCGACCUGCUUCCACAGGAAGACAAGGCCGCGCAACUCGUGCAGUUACGAGAGCUCAAGACCAAGCUUGACGAAGAUCGUGAGUGCCUAGUCCUGCUUGAGCAAAUCCUCGAGCAAGACUUGGCAUACCUGCCCGGCGGAAGUGUCCGCAGACGCGCUCGAGAGGUACACCGACAAAUCGUCAGAGACGCAGAGCCAGAGCAGCCUGUCAGCCGCUUCCCUCGAGCAGGCCAGAAUGUAGUGGCAGCGACAAUGCUGCUGCGCAACAUGCCAGAGCCAUCGAACUCCCAAGCCCGACGUAUUCGAGAUGAGGUAUAGACUCUGCUCCAGGUGGUGGCAGUUCAACAAGCCGAAAGCUCGGCUUCUCGACGACGAGGAGCUGCCACUGAAAAGCGCGAUGAGCCACCCCAAAACGAAAAGGAGGUAUCAGUCCAUCAACUGCCACCCCCACGAGGAAGAAAGACCACGCUCAUUCUCCCCGUCAACAAUCAGCGUCGACACGACGCACGGCAUGACAUCGAAGAGAAUCGACGCCGCCGGCAUGGGGACGCGGAAGAGCGCGGUUCCAGCGCACAUCGUGGCGGGAGGUACGACUGCGAUGAGAACCGAAUGGCCCCCGAGCCACCAGGCCCACGGGUGUUCAGCAGGGCAAUCCGCAGCACACCACUGCCCAGUCCGUUCCGACCCCCAACCAGCAUCGCGAAAUACAACAGUGAAACCAAACCAGAACUGUGGCUGGCAGACUUCAGGCUGGCUUGUCAGCUGGGAGGUGCUCGAGGAGACGAUCGAGCCAUCAUCAGACAACUACUGCUUUUUCUCUCUGAUACCGCCUGACCGUGGCUCGAGGAACUUCCAGCUAAUCAGAUCCAGGACUGGGUCGAUUUGGUUAGAGUCUUCGAGGGUAAUUUCAAAGGGACCUACAUACGGCCCGGGAACUCGUGGGACCUCAGCAAGUGCAAACAGAAGUCAGGAGAAACUCUUCGAGAGUAUGCUCGACGCUUCUCGAAGCAGCACACCGAGCUGCCACGUAUCCCUGACCACGACGUCAUCCUGGCAUUUGUCUCUGGUACCACCAGUCGAGACCUGGUACGGGAAUUGGGCCGGAAUCGCCCUCAAACCGUCGAUGAGCUGAUGGACGUAGUGGCAAACUACGCAGCAGGGGAGGAAGCAGUCGGCGCCUUCUUCAGUUGUGAAGGAAGGAAAGGCAAGCAGCCCUCCAUUGAAGAUGGGACCCCCAGUCGAGGGCCCAAGAAAAACAAGAAGAAGCAGAAAGCGCGGCAGUUCAAGCAGAAAAACUUCGACGACGAUCUCGUCGCCGACAUGGAGCGGAAGAGGCCUCGAGGCCCUCCAGAUGGAGGCAUUUACGACAAGAUGCUAGAAGAACCAUGCCCUUACCAUAAGGGAGGCGCCAACCACAUGCACAAGGACUGUCGUAUGCUGAAAAAGCAUUUCGACGGUCUGGGGUUCAAAAAGGAUGCGCGUGACGACCCAAAGAAGGAGAAGGGCGGCAACGUGGAGGACAACAAAGAUGACGACGGCUUCCCAGCCGUCCACGACUGCUACAUGAUCUAUGGAGGGCCCUCGACGCAGUUGACCACAAGGCAGCGCAAAAGGGAACGACGUGAGGUCUUCGCGGCGAGAAUGGCGGUGCCCCAGUACCUCAGCUGGACGAGCACUCCCAUCACUUUCGAUCGAGAGGACCACCCGGACAAGGUAGUCGCCCCAGGCGUCUACCCGCUCGUCGUCGACCCCAUCAUCGUCAACACCCGGCUUUCAAAGGUGCUGAUGGACGGCGACAGCAGCCUCAACAUCAUCUACCUCGAGACCCUCGACCUCCUCGGCAUCGACAGGGGACGGCUCCAACCAAGCGCCGGCGGUUUCCAUGGCGUCGUGCCAGGGAAAAAGGCGCUACCAGUGGGUUGAAUCGACCUACCGGUCUGCUUUGGCACGGCGGCCAUCUUCAGGAAGGAGACCCUCACCUUUGAGGUGGUCGGACUCCGGGGCACGUACCACGCCAUCAUCGGUCGCCCGGGCUACGCCAAGUUCAUGGCUAUACCCAACUACACCUAUUUGAAGCGGAAGAUGCCCGGUCUCAAAGGCGUCAUCACCGUCAGCUCCUCCUUCAAACUCGCUUACGAAUGCAACGUCGAGUGUAACACCCCAGGUGUUUGCCACGAGUUAGACUUUAGGUUUUGAGCUCAAACAUGUCAUGAUGAGUGGUGAUGAUCAUGUUAAGGUUAAUCCAUGAAAGUGAGCCUGAAGUUAAACUUAGAGAAUGCACCCUUGCUUACAUAUAGAACCUUUUCAAAGUGCAUGCUUAGGUGAUGUUUAUGAAAUCUCUUUCAUGUGUCCGACAUCCAUCACGACCUAUAGUGAUCACUCAAAAAGUUUCAUGGAGUUUGGAAUCAAAAGGUCACAUGAAAUGUUAAGUUACAUGCUUGUUGGAAUGACCUCAUUAAGUGAAUAAAACCAUAGACCAUCAACCAUUCUUUGCAACCUUGCCCAAAUGACUCUAGAUGAACUCUACAACAAAAGUCAUGAAGGGUCCACGUUGAGCUUGUGCCCAGAAAGUGCUUCAAUUGGCCUAAAACCUUAAUUCAAGCUUUAUCAAGUUGCUGCUUUGACCAAAGUGAAAGUUUGACUUCUGUACUAGUUCUGAGGUUUGACCUUACAUCAAAGUUGUAGUUUAGAUUCUGUAGAACAAACUUUGUUUAAUGUUCAAGAGCUAGUUUGGUCUCUAACCUAGUCAAAUUGAGCUGACAAUAUUCAAUGCAGUGCUGUUUUGGAACUCUAGAAAUUGGCUAAGUCAUCAAGGUGCUCAGUUUCGGGUACCCUAGUUGGGAUCCCUGUAUCUUACUAACCAGGCCAACACAGUAUAAGAUCCUUUAAGCAAAGUUGUAGUACAGUUUGUAUACUACAAUCUUUGUUAAAGUUUCCAAGACUGAAUCUUCAUCUAAGCCUGUCAAAUAUGAGUCACAAAAUUGAAUCUGCUAUAGUUUCCAGCACUUAGAGUUUUUAAGUCUAGGUUUGGAGUUCAUCACGUUGGCAUUCCGCGUUCUCCAAAUUUUACUAAACAACUUGCUUGUGUUACAAAAUAAAAGUUGGAGCACAUAUUGUGGGCUACAGCAUGCCAAAAGAUGACACCAGUUUGACUUCGUUUUGGUCAUCAAUUUUGAGUUUCGCUAAUCACUAUCAAUUCGUUGAUACUCAUAGAUUGGCAUCAAAUUAUCUAUUAAUAUGUAAUCCUAAUGACCAUGACACUUAAACGAAAAAUGUAGAGCAGCACGAGUUUGACAAACUUCAUUUUUGGCCCAUGUCCAAAUUCGGCCCGUAGGUAGCCCAUAUUUGGAUCCCACGUUGACCACUCUGUUGCCUGCCACCUGUUCGGCAGAAUGCCUCAAAGGCCAGCACGUGUUCUGGACGUGGCAUCCAUGCCCGGAUGCGCCCCCUCCUCCUCUGCUACUCGCCCAGGCGCCCCCCACGCCCGGUUGUCGAAGUGGAGAAGCACCCCAGCGCCUUCCUCAUCCAUUUCCACCCCCUGCUCGCUCUCUCCCUCGCCCUAUGGCCACUCCGGAGCAGGGCCACCAUGGCCGGCCGCCAUGCCUCAGGGGUGAGCGUGGCCAAGCCACCACGAGUCUCCUCAGGCCGAGCUGAGUGGUCUUAUGGAUGCGGGGAAGUCUCCUGGUGCUCCCCCACCCCUCCCUCACCGCCGGCGUGGCCAUCUUUGGCCAGAAAGCGCAAAGCCGGCGAUCCUCCUCCCUUCUCUGUUCGAGCAGAGAAAGGAAAAGGGCCUCGUGUUGGAAUAAGAAACAAUGCAGGGUUCCAGAUGCGAAGCUUGUGGUCUGUUGCGUGAUUCGUGGAAAGUCCAGGGUCCCCGGUGAAAGAUCUGUUUUCCUUUUCCUUUGUUUUUGCAGAUUUCUGGGUGAACUUUGGAAAUCCAAAGUAAUGCAUCGAAAAGUCGUAAAAUAGCAAAUGUGGACUUUUUGGAAUCCUUGUGAAAUUCUCUAUGCAGUAGAUCUAUAAUAUGGCAUGGUUUAGUUUGCAGUUUUAGCAGUAAAAAUAGAUUUAUGCAGUUCGGUUUUAAUUGCUUGUUAUAUUUGUCUUUUUCAUAACCACUGUACUAUUGCUCAAAUAAAUGUGAAAAUAUUGUGGCAUGCUUUACAUGUACUAUUUGAUGUCUGGUAAAAGUUGCAUGAAUUUAGGCAUAACAUAUUAAGAGUUAUAAAAAUAACAAAUGCUCUGUGUUGCCUUGCUCCUAUUCUGAGUAUGUCUGCAUGUUUAUAUUGUUUGGUUCAUUUAGGUUGUGAAUCUUUCCUGGAUGAAAAUAUAUGAGUUGUAGUAAUUUUCAUAAGCUUUCCAUCAAGCUAAAUAGCAUAAUUUUUGGUCAAGCAUAUGUUUAGUUAUAGUAGUUUAAAUUACUAUUUCAGUUUCUGUCUAAACCUAGACAGCAAUGCAUUGGUGUUAUGUAAGACCUUGUUAGUUGUAGAUUUUGCUCUAGAUGUUUAUAACAAAGUUGUUCACAAUUUAGUAAGCUUUCUAGAAAGCAUAUAACCAUAAUUUAUGGGCAUAUGAAACUCAAGUUAUGGCUGUUUAAUGUGACAUGAUAGAUUCUGUCCAUGUUUUGGACAGAGAUGUCUUUAUGGAUAUUGAUAAAUGGUUUAUAAUUAUAAAUAACAAUGUAGAAAUGGAAAAUGUUGUUCCAAUACAAUCCUAUGAUAUUAUUGUAUCAUGUUUAUGUAUGAUAUGACCAUGUGUUUGAAGAAAAUAUGAUUUGUGCAUUGAUCUUGCUCUCACAUGGUUAAUUGCAAUAGCAAUUUGUCUUUUUCAUAGAUGAUGCUAUGCUUAUUCAAAUACUGUGAAAUUUAUACAGCAGUCUAUUCAUGGUAUUUAGAGGCUACUAUAAUGUUUGUAGAAUUUACUGUGCAUGUUUGAUAUAUGUUCUUUAAUACACCUUAUUAUCCAAAUAAAUUAAGAAAUGCAUUAAAUAAAUUUAUUUGGAAAUGACCACUAUGUUUUCUGGUGUUCUUUAGAUAUAUACAAACUGUUGGUAACAAUGGUUUUGCUCAAAUGCAUGUUUGAAAUAUAAGUUAAUAAUUAAUUGUUUGCAAUUGUUAUUUCUGGACAGUUUCGGUAACUGUUUGGAUUACAAUGUGUAAAUGAUGUUUUCUGGGAAUCUUGUUUAUAGUAAAGUUGUAGAUAAUUAAUUUAUCUAGCUGCUGUCAAAAUUUGGUGGCAUUUGGUUAUGUGGUUUGUAUGUUAUGGCUGUUCAAAAUUGAGUUUCAGAAAUGGUUGCUCUCUGUCUUGUUAGGACCUGAUUCUGUAAUUCUAAUAUUUCGACCUGCCAAACUUAUGAAUCAUGCUUUGAUAUAUAAAUAUGAAAUGUAGAUAAUUUCCUAAGCUUUCCAGAAUGUCUUCUUUCAUGUCUUUUGGAAUUGUGUAACUCCAGUAAUGAUUUAUUUUCUCAGCUACUGUUAACAGUCCUAAAAAUAACAGAUUCCUUGUAUUGCUGUUGCUUGGUAUAUUGCUAGGUGUGACUCAUGUCUUUGAUAAUGGCCAUGUUAUUACACCUGAAAUCUUGUGAAACAUGUAUGCCAUGCCUGAUAUACUUGGUUGCAUUCUUUUCUAUUUUAGUAUGUAGGUUUGUGUGAUGUUUAAGUAAUCAAUGAGAAGUGCUUAUGUAUGUUUAGUGUAACCAUGCUCUUCACAUACUUCUUGUGUGUGAUGCUUUGUCUAUUGCACUUCUAUGUGUUCAUACACUUGCAUCUUGCAUCUCAUUUAGGUACGCUAGAUGAACUACGUGAAGGACUUUAUGAUGGACCUAACCGGAUGAUGGAAGGACUACACAAGUGUUGUCACCUUAGAUGUCGUCAAGACGGUGUAAGCUGACAUAACUGACUUGUGUCGGAUUCCAGGCAAGCCCCGGAGCAUUUUAAGUCUCCUACCCUCUCUUUUUAUAAAAGCACAAGAGUAUAACUUUAUAUGAUGCAUUAGGUGAUAGGAGUUGAAUGAAACCGUUGGUGCAUAUAGUCCUACCUUGUCCACUAUAUGAAACUACCUGAACCCUUAACGUUCUAUGCUUAGCUAUGCUUAGCUCGGUAGAAGCCGGGUGAUUUCCUGUCACCUGCGAGAGAUAGGUGGAUACCUGAUCACGGUUGGCUAUAUUUGCUAUCGUGGAAAUAACCAUGUGCUAAUAAUGAAUUUGAGACCGGGCAGGAUGACGAUAGUGAAGCAACAAGGCAUGGAGGUCUUGGGUGUGAAUCUAUUCCCGUCUGUGUCGUUUAAGGACCGAUACGCUGUACGUCCUCGUGUCAUGUUGAACGCAUGCCUACCACUUAGCUGGCCGGAUAAGUCGUUCCGACCGUGAAGCCUACGAGUGCAACUCCGGGCGGAUACCCCGAUCUGGUUAAAGUGCGCACCCCGGUUGGUAGUAAGGAUGUGCGGGGAGUCAAUGGCGUAAGACCGAGGAGUCCGGUUAGAGUCCUGACCCUGGCAGAUUGGCGGUCCCUGGGGGUGCGGCGCCGUACGGACCCGCGAAUUGGUCCGGAGUUGUGCUAAAGGUGAUCCAACCUACUCUAGCUAAGUACGCCUGGGUGAGUGCUAGGAAUACCCCUCCAGCUGGAUAGGAAUCGAUUCGAAUCGCCGUCUCUCCCGGAUAGUGAGAACUUGACUCGAGCAGCGGCAACGUAGAUACACUAAAUGAAACUUAAUGGUUAUGAUGAUGAUGAUGGCUACAUGAUAAACCUGAUAUGGUUAUUAAUGUGAUGCUUAAUAAUCAAGUGGUUGCUAUAGAAUAGUAUUGGGUAUUUUAAACGCAAACAGAAAAAUCCGCAAGCGCACAGAUACCGAUGUAGCUUUCAACCGGGAGUAUUCCAGAGUAUCGAUUUUUCACAGAGAACGUGAGUGUACUAAUUAAGAUCCAAGAUCGCCCAAGGAUAACUAUAUAAUUAUUUUUUGGUGGGAAGAGAGGAAGUUUCCUGUGAGUUCUCUAGUUGAUCUAAGAAUCAAGAAUUACUUCAAGAUUAUCUAUAUCAGGACAUCAGAGCACUAACCACAGAAAGAGAUUAGAAGGGGGCUAGGAAGGUCUGACUACGGUCCUACAAACACCGAUCCGAACGUGGUGGAAUACGUCGACCGUUAGGGCUGUCACUACCCUAAGGCUACCACAACAAUCCGCAGGACUGGGUGCAAUUCCAGGUAAUUGCAAGACUAAACACCACGUCUAAUCUAUUAAUUACUACUCUAGCGUUAUAAAGACUAGAGCACUUGAUGCAAGCGGGAAUCCAAUAAAUAACUAGAAUGUAAAUAAAAGUAAUUAGAGAACUCAGGAAUUAUGAAUUGAUGAACCUGGAGAACGAUGAAGAACGAACCAGUUGCUGCAAAAGUACAAUGUUGAGGAAGAUCCGACAGAUCCGGCUCCUCCUCCUCCGCUCUCCUCUUCUCUCUCCCUAUUUUCUAGAUUACAACUAGAACUAACUAGAACUAGAACUAGAGGAACUAGAACUAGAACUAGAUGAACUAGAACUAGAUCUAGAUGAACUAGAGGUAGAACUAGAAGAACUAGAGGGAUCCUCUCUACUUGGAUGAAGAAUUGAAACCCUAGCUUUGAUUCUGUAGAAGAGGUAUGCCUCCAGGGGCUGGUGGGGGUCUGCUUAUAUAGUCCAGGAAGAGUAGCCCCCAAGAAAUCUAGGAAGAGUAGCUCCCAAGAAAUCUAGGAAGAGUAGCUCCCAAGGAAUUUCCACGUUAUUCUCCACCAUCCGAUCAAACCGACCUUAAUCGUGUGAUUUUCCUUGAUCCUUAGAGUCGGUGGAGCACGAUCCGCGAAGUUGACCCUGAUUGGGCACUGUAGCAGGGCGGGCGCCCAGGUCAACUAGGCGGGCGCCCAGUGCCUGGCCCCGUUCGGUCUCCGCUUCCUUCCCGUGGCUUCUGGAGUCUUCUAGAUGGUAGAAAAUUGUGCGGCACAUUAAUAUCUCUAUGUAAACCCGACGUGUGGGCCUUUCCUCCGUAUUUCCUGAUAACCCCCUGUAGAAAUAGACAAACACCAAAACUCUUGGAAUUCUAUCAGAUAAAACCCUAAGUCUAGGUGUUGGUUGCAUUUGGAUCCUUUUCUAUGAUUAGUUGAUCGUUAAAUGUGAGCAUUAAGGACCAUCAACAAGCUCCCCCAAGCUUAACCUCUGCUCGUCCCUGAGCAAAGAUGGACUCAAGAGUUUCUGCAGUGGUUUUAUGCCUUAAAGAUACAAAUGCGUUCAAACAAGAUAUCAUCUCUGGGUUAGAGUAAACUGUUAAGACUUAAAACUUACUCAUAUUACCUUUCACCAUGGGGUUUGUAACCGUCACUUCUGUCUUGAGUAGUUAAAAGAUAGAACGGUCUAAUCAAGCGCUAUGUCUCUUGUUCUUCGAUUAACUAUAGCUCUAGAGUUUUUGCAGAUUUUCAAAUAAAACUCAGAGAUUCCUUGUAUGACUCUCUCUAGUCUCUCUUUUGUGGUAUUUCUGGAUCCUUACCAAGGCAGUGAUGGUAUAUGCCUUCUCUCAAAGUAUGUGGUAUUUGUAGUAUGAAGCAUAGUGGCAUUGCCUUCUCUCUCACCCUACUCUAAUAAGGUUUUGAUAUCUGGAGCUCAUAGGUGGGAGACAACUAAUACAUACUUACAAGACAUUUAUUGCAUAGUCAAACCAUGGAUCCAGAAGAACAAGUCAAUAAGACAAAUCAAGAUGUGCAUGUGUGGCGAAUGAAUAGUGUAUGGUGAUGAUGGUGAUAACAAUGGUGAAAGUCUAAUUCUACUUGUGCUCUUUCGAGGGGAUACAUACCUUUCUUGCUCUUUUGAAACUUUUUGAGGAGAAUGAGUUGCUCUAUAUUUUCUUUUUCUUUUCUCUCAGGUGGGUAUUUUGUACCCCUAAUUCUACUGUCGGACACUUGUCCAUUUUUACCUCUCGUCUCACUUUUUCUUUUCUUUCGAGGUUCCGGGCACUUGCCCAUUUUUAUUUCCUCGUAUCUCUUUUUUUUUCUUUCUUUUUUUAGAGCACUCAUCUCCUGAAAUAAUAUAGCAAGUGGUAGUAACCAAGAUAACUUGAGCAUUUAUUUCACAGGGGAAAACAGAAAUAGGAGAAUGUUUUUAGCUAUUCUCUCCCAGAUUAGGAGUAGAAUAUUUUUAGGUGAUUCUGGAGAUGGAAAUGGAUGGAUAUAUGUGGAUGCGUACUUCCGGAGUAGAAGUAGCAUGUAUGAGUGAACGUGCAAGUGAAUCUUGAUUUAACCACAUGACAAGCUCCUAAGGGUCUACACAGCUUGACCACACUCAAAGCUCAUAAGCAGUAAAAAGUAAAUGUGUGGCUCAAAGUCUAGCAAGCAUGUAUAUAUGGCUGUGGUAGGAAUUUAAACUCUCAUCAUACAGGAACUCAUCAUGCAAAAUUUUAAAGAUUUUCAAAGAUAAAAUUCUCUAGAAUUCUAGCAUCUCUAGAAACAGAUAAACAGCAGCUCAACCUUCCCAUAUCGUAUCCGUUAACGACUUAGACUUUAGAUCAAGUACUCUCCCCACAAGUUCAGGUUUAGAGCAAAUCUUAAUUAAUACUAGUCAUGCCUAAACUUGAGAGAGAUUUCAAUUUUGAGAACUAGUCAUGGCAGAGCAACUAUUCAUCAUUUCCAUGUGAGAGCUUAUCAUGAGGGUUCAUAGCAAAAUUUAUUUAUUUAUUUAUUUGGCAAACUAAGCAAAGAUAUAUAUAAGCACAAAAUCUUUAUUUGGGUUUUUAUGAUUAUGCAUCUUUUUAUUAUUUGAGUAAAGUAUAAACGUGAGUAGAAUACUUAGCUGGAUAAAUCGGGGUGCUCUCCCCUAGGCUGGAUUUUGACACAAUUUCUUCUAAUGUAGCUAGCAGCCGGCGGAGGUGUAUUUGAAUGUCGGCAGCACUCUGUCAGCGAUUAGGAUGUCCUCCGUCUGCUAGUCUUCUUUGAUCCUUGAAUUCUGUGGAGCUCAAAUAGACAACAAAGCUUUAUGGAACUGGUUAAGUGUUAGCAUAAAUAUCUAGCCUUUAUCAUGUUGAGCCUCCUCAAUAAAUAUUACUCUCUUUAGUAGGAUCAUAAAUUUAUUUUUAUAAUUUUAUUUUUUAUAGGACAGGAAUAUAUUUAUUUCAUUUUUAUGCCACCACAGUGAAUGUACUUAUGGGUUUUAUGCCAUGAGCAUACUCACAUGGGGCUUACUAUUUUAAACAUUUUUAUUUUCUUUUCAAGAUGAUAUGAACGUGAUUAACUAAGCAAACUAUUUUAAAAUAAUUGAAAGGAAAAGGAUAACUACCAAGUUUACCUCUUGGCAAGGCGUUCGGUGUUUUUAAGUCCUCCGAACGGGACUCUCCGUUUUCUCAUUCGUCCUGGGAUUCGCUGGAUGGCGUAGUCGGUGGUUCCGGUGGAGCCUGCUCUUCAUGUAUAACUAUCUUUUUUCUCCACACCAGACUCAAUGCUACAGUCUCCUCAGGACAGUUCUGUUCAAGUUAUAUGUCUUCAGACCUUACAACUUCUCCAUCAUAGUCUACCCAUCUGUCCUUGAUGAUUUUGCCUUCUCUGGUUGCGGUUGCGCCGUCUCCUUCUUGUCCCGACCUGCUUAGAGUCUUCAACUAUAUAGUUAGGGUCAGUAAAAUAGUGGCGUACCUUCUCAGAGGUGAAGUGCAUGUAGACUUCUCGGGUUCCAAUGUAGAUGAUUGCUUUAACGGUGCUGAGGAACGGUCUCCUAAGGAUGAUGGAGGAUCAUACUUGUCUUCUCCCAUGUCAAUAACCUUUCGGAAUGUCUGAUCUGCCGUCUGGAGCUGAAUGUAUAUCGGUUUUAGAGGCAUGGUUCCAUACAGGAGCUGAUAAGUGACUGCGGCCAUUAUGUUGACGUCAGAUCCGGUGUCAUAGAGUGUCUUCUGAAAAGAAUAUCUGUUGAUUGUGCACUUGAUGCUUGGAACACCAGGGUCAUCCUUCUUGAUCAAGAAAGGCGACUUGAGUUGACGAUCAUGACCUUCUUGAGCUGCAGUGACCAUCUUAGCUGACUCAGUCCACAUUUGCUUGUUUCUGUUCCUCCUGUUGGUCCUCUUCCUUGGUUCAUGUCGGGAUUGCUCUGAGAUUUGUGUAGUCUUGUUCUUGAAGGAAAACGUCUCCUUCCUCCCCUUGAUGUAGAAAUGGAUUUUAGCAGCACUAGCGUAGAUGACAGCUCCCGAGGUGUUCAGGAAUGGCCUCCCCUGGGCAUAAUAUUGACGCUGGAACCGAAGUGGUAGAGUGCUUCUGCGAAGUCCACCAUGCCGAUGGAGAUCGGGAUGACGGGGCGUCCUGGAUCGCGUCUCUUGACUGAGUGUCCAGUAUCUCCAGUGUGUUUGUGCUCGUAGAUCUAGGUUCUUCACUUGGUGGAGUCUGGAAGUUGUAAAAGUCCUUCAUAUUUUGCUCGAAGUGUACCUGCUCAUAGAGACAAGGCAGAGAUCAAGUGCAUGGGUCCUGUUGGUGGAAAACACCAAUAGAACCGAAAGUGUAUUUGUUCUCUCUAACCUUAAGCAUAGUGAGCAAGACAAAGUUGAUGGAUAAUAAGAUCAUGAGUGUAGCAUUUAAAGCAUUUGUCAUAUCUGACCGCUCAACCUAAUGGAAAGAUAAUCUAUCUAUAUAAAUGUUUUUUUCUUUACAUGACUAUCAUUUUCCAAAGAUUGAGUGUGCAACAUUUUAGUUCAUAUGAUUAGGAGUGUGGGAUCACAAAGGUGGAAGGACUAAACAUAUUGAAUUGACUGGGUUGGUUAAUCAAGAGUUGUAAAUCAUACAUGUUUGUCUCUUUUAUUUAUGUGAACGCCAGAACCAAUGAGAAGCUUAUAAAAGUGAUAGUCAAGUACCUUAAGAUGUUACCUUACUUGAAGAGUGAUGGUACAGUAUCACCUUGUGGAAGCUUUCCUUUCUUAGCGGUUGUGCAUCGUGUUUGUGGCAUCCUCCAUGGAUCAUCUCUUGUGAUCUAUGCCUUCCUUGUGUAAAUUGUUAAACUUCAUGUGUCUCUCUCUGUCUCCAAUGUUGGUGUAUCUCAGGACUUCCCAGGUCAAUAUUAAAAGUUCUCCUGCAGGGGUUAGUCCAACAAAAUAUCCAAUAUCUACUAUAGCAUACUAUCGGCUCAAAGAUCAACCUAGACAGCAUGUCUAAUUUGAUUUAGGAGGGCAUUUUAACCUAAGCAUCAUGCUUAAUUUAAACUCCCUUGGAAGUAAGAUCAUCAGCCCUAAACUAAGCACCAUGCUUAAUUAAGAGAUAAAUGAAUCUACUCCAAACCUAGACAUAUACUAAAGCAAAUAAAGGUAGCAUGAAAGCAUUUAUAGAGAUCUACUCAAGUGGAGAUGAAGUAGUGUGAUUAGUAUUUAACAGAUUGAGCAUGUCUCAAAGGUAGGGACAACCAACAUAGCAACAUGGCAAAGGAUGUUUUUAUGUAAAGUACUCCCCCAAGCUUGAAUUUUGCAAAAUUCAAGUUUGGAUGAAUUUAAUUCAAUGUUGUAUGAUGAUUGGUUGGACAUACCUUGUGCUUGUCAUUCAUCCGAUCUUCUUGCUCCAAUCCUGGAAAGGUUAGUGACAAGAAUACCCAAAGGAAUUUUUUUUACAAUUAUCCUUAUAUGCUCAAUACACAAGGUAAUGUUGCAAAUAAUUAAAAGCUCAUGUUACAAUCUGAUCAGUGCUUGUUUUAGGACACUAAGCUUGUCCUUGGGAAAUGUUGACGGUCCUUAAUGAUCACAAUUAACCAUCAACUAAUCAUAGAAAAGGAUCCAAAUGCAACCAACACCUAGACUUAGGGUUUUAUCUGAUAGAAUUCCACAAGUUUUGGUGUUUGUCUAUUUCUGUAGGGGGUUAUCAGGAAAUACGAAAGAAAGGCCCACACGUCGGGUUUACAUAGAGAUAUUAACGUACCGCACAAUUUUCUACCAUCUAGAAGACUCCAGAAGCCACGGGAACGAACGGGAGGCCGAUCGGGCUCGGAGGCAGGGCGCCCACCCAACUCUCCUGGGCGCCCGCCCAGCUACUGUGUCCAAUUCGGACCCGUUUCACGUAUUAUGCUCCACCGACCUAAAGGAUCAAGGAAAACCGUGCGAUCAAUGUCGGUUUGAUCUGACGGCCCAGAUUCACUUGAAGGGACUAUAAAACCAGACCCCCCUAGCCCCUGGAGAUCAUACCUCUUCUACAGAAUCAAAGUUAGGGUUUCAAUUCUUCAUCCAAGUAGAGAGGAUCCCUCUAGUUCUUCUAGUUCUACCUCUAGUUCAUCUAGAUCUAGUUCUAGUUCAUCUAGUUCUAGUUCUAGUUCCUCUAGUUCUAGUUCUAGUUAGUUCUAGUUGUAAUCUAGAAAAUAGGGAGAGAGAAGAGGAGAGCGGAGGAGGAGCCGGAUCUGUCGGAUCUUCCUCAACAUUGUACUCUUGCAGCAACUGGUUCGUUCUUCAUCGUUCUCCAGGUUCUUCAAUUCAUAACUCCUGAGUUCUCUAAUUACUUUUAUUUACAUUCAAGUUAUUUAUUGGAUUCCCGCUUGCAUCAAGUGCUCUAAUCUUUGAAACAUUAGAGUAGUAAUUAAUAGAUUAGACGUGGUGUUUAGUCUUGCAAUUACCUGGAAUUGCACCCAAUCCUUCGGAUUGUUGUGGUAGCCUUAGGGUAGUGACAGCCCUAACGGUCGACGUAUUCCACCUCGUUCGGAUCGGUGUUUGUAGGACCGUAGUCGGAGCUUCCUAGCCCCCUUCUCAUCUCUUUCUGUGGUUAGUGUUCUGAUGUCCCGAAAUAGAUAAUCUUGAAGUAAUUCUUGAUUCUUAGAUCAACUAGAGAACUCUCAGGAAACUUCCUCUCUUCUCACCAAAAAUAAUUAUAUAGUUAUCCUUGGGCGAUCUUGAUUCUUAAUUAGUACACUCACGUUCCCUGUGGAAAAUCGAUACUCUGGAAUACUCCCGGGUGAAGGCUACAUCGGUAUCCGUGCGCUUGCGGAUUUUUCUGUUUGCGUUUAAAAUACCCAACAAGCUUUCUGGCGCCGUUGCCGGGGAACGGUAGCUGUGCUAGUUUCGAACCAAGUCGUCCGUGUAUCCUUUUUCUUUUCCUUUUUUACCACACUCACCUUAUCAUUUUCACCAUACCACAUGGAUUUCACUCUAAGCAUUAGUGAGCAUGGAAUUUAUUUCAUAGCCACUUCAUUUACUCCAUGCUCAUAUGCACCAUCUUCACAAUCCAUUGGUCUCUCCAGCAUCACCACAUUCGAGAUCUCCAACCCCCUCUUCCUUUCUAUUUAUAAAAACUUUAAAAGGGCGGUUGUCGAUGCAUAUGUUUAUAAUAAAUAUUGCAGAUCUCGUUGAGUUGAUCUUGAUAUAGGUUAGCGUUGGAGGGGAAACCACUUCGCCGACAUAAAUUGAUGGUUUCCCAAGGACAAGCUUAGUGUCCUAAAACAAGCACUGAUCAGAUCGUAACAUGAGCUGUUAAUUAUUUGCAACAUUACCUUGUGUAUUGAGUAUAUAAGGAUAAUUGUAAAAAUAUUCCUUCGGGUAUUCUUGUCACUAACCUUUCUAGGAUUGGAGCAAGAAGAUCGGAUGAAUGACAAGCACAAGGUAUGUCCAACCAAUCAUCGUACAACAUUGAAUUAAAUUCAUCCAAACUUGAAUUUUGCAAAAUUCAAGCUUGGGGGAGUACUUUCCAAAAAAAACAUCCUUUGCCAUGUUGCUAUGUUAGUUGUCCCUACCUUUGAGACAUGCUCAAGUUGUUAAAUACUAAUCACACUACUUCAUCUCCACUUGAGUAGAUCUCUAUAAAUGCUCUCAUGCUACCUUUAUUUGCUUUAGUAUAUGUCUAGGUUUGGAGUAGUUUCAUUUAUCUCUUAAUUAAGCAUGGUGCUUAGUUUAGGGCUGAUGAUCUUACUUCCAAGGGAGUUUAAAUUAAGCAUGAUGCUUAGGUUAAAUUGCCCUCCUAAAUCAAAUUAGACAUGGUGUUUAUGUUGAUCUUUGAGCCGAUAGUAUGCUAUAGUAGAUAUUGGAUAUUUUGUUGGACUAACCCCUGCAGGAAAACUUUCAAUAUAGACUUGGGAAGUCCUGAGAUAAACUCACAUUGGAGACAAAGAGAGAGACGCAUGAAGGUUAACAAUUUACACAAGGAAGGCAUAGCUCACAAGAGAUGAUCCAUAGAGGGUGCCACAAACACGAUGCAUAACCGCUAAGAAAGGGAAGCUUCCAUAAGGUGAUACGGUACCAUCACUCUUCAAGUAAGGUAACAUCUUAAGGUACUUGACUUUCACUUCUAUAAGCUUCUCCUUUGUUCUGGCGUUCACAUGAAUAAAAGAGACAAACAUGUAUGAUUUACAACUCUAGAUUAACCAACCCAGUCGAUUCAAUAUGUUUAGUCCUUCCACCUUUGUGACCCCAUACUCCUAAUCAUAUGAACUAAAAUGUUGCACACUCAAUCUUUGGAAGAUAUAUUUUAUAAAAAACAACAUAAAUAUAGAAAGAUUAUCUUUCCAUUAGGUUGAGCGAUUUGAUCUAACAAAUGUUUUAAAUGUUAUACUCAUGAUCUUAUUAUCCAUCAACUUUGUCUUGCUCACUAUGCUUAAGGUUAGAGAAGAACAAAUACACUUUUGGUUCUGUUGGUGUUUUCCACCAACAGGGCCCAUGCACUUGAUCUCUGCCUUGUCUCUAUGAGUAGGUACACUUUGAGCAAAAUAUGAAGGAGUUUUACAACUCCCAGACUCCACCAAUGUGAAGAACCUAGAUCUAUGAGCACAAACACGCUGGAGAUACUGGACACUCAUGCAAACACUGCCCUGAGAUGCUUGAGGACGUAACUACUGGAGUAACCGCUUUGUGGAAGUAAUUACUGAUCUUCUGCCGGUUAAGAGAAACAAUCCAGGACGCCCCGUCAUCCCGAUCUCCAUCGGCAUGGUGGACUUCCUAGAAGCACUUUCUUGCAGAUUAGACACUAAGUUUCCCAAAGGGAAUAUUGAAGAGCCUCUGCGUCCGAGUUGGUACCUUGUACGCCCCAGCAGACUUCUUGGUAAUAGAGACUGGUACUGAUGAGAGGGCACCCAUCAUUCUAGAGAGGCCAUUCCUGAACACCUCGAGAGCUGUCAUCUACGCUAGUGCUGCCAAGAUCAGUUUCUUCAUCAAGGGGACGAAGGAGACGUUUUCCUACAAGAACAAAACUACACAAAUCUCAGAGCAAUCCUGACAUGAACCAAGGAAAGGACCAACAGGAGGAACAGGAACAAGCAAGUGUGGACCAAGUCAGCUAAGAUGGUCACUGCAGUUCAAGGAGGUCAAGAUCAUCUAUUUUAGUCACCGUUUCUGACCAAAAAGGACGACUCAGUCACCUAUCAGCUUCUGUUCGGAACCAUGCCCUUAAAACCGACAUACACCCAGCUCCAGAUGGCAGAUCAAACAUUUCGGGAAGUUGAAGUUAUUGACAUAGGAGAAGACGAGUACGAUCCACCCAUCAUCCUUGGAAGACCGUUCCUCAACACCGUUAAAGCAAUCAUCUACAUUGGAACCGGCGGAGUCCACAUGCACUUCCCCUCUGAAAAGGUCAGGACAAGAAGAAGAUGACGCAACCGCAACCAGAGGAGGCAAAUCAUCAAGGACGGAUGGGUAGACUAUGAAGAAGAAGUUGUAAGGUCUGAAGACAUACAGCUUGAACAGAACUGUCCUGAGGAGACCGUAGCAACGAGUCAGGUGUGGAGAGAGAAGAUAGUUAUACACGAAGAGGAGACGCCGUCAGAACCACCGACUACGCCAUCCAGCGAAUCCAGGACAACAGAGAAAAUGGAGAGUCCCGUUCGGAGGACUUAAAAACACCGCACGCCUUGCCAAGAGGUAAACUUGGUAGUUAUCUUUUCCCUUUCAACUAUUUAAAAUAGUUUGCUUAGUUAAUCAGGUUCAUAUCAUCACGAAAAGAAAAUAAAAAUGUUUAAAAUAGUAAGCCCCAUGUGAGUAUGCUCAUGGCAUAAAACCCAUAAGUACAUUCACUGUGGUGGUGUAAAAAUGAAAUAAAUAUAUUCCUGUCCUAUAAAAAUAAAAUUAUAAAAAUAAAUUUAUGAUCCUACUAAAGAGUGUAACAUUUAUUGAGGAGGCUCAACAUGAUAAAGGCUAGGUAUUAUGCUAACACUUAACCAGUUCCACAAAGCUUUGUUGUCUAUUUGAGCUCCACAGAAUUCAAGGAUCAAAGAAGACUAGCAGACGGAGGACAUCCUAAUCGUUGACACAGUGCUGCCGACAUUCAAAUACACCUCCGCCAGCUGCUAGCUACAUUAGAAGAAAUUGUGUCAAAAUCCAGCUUGGGGGAGAGCACCCCCAUUUAUCCAGCUAAGUGUUCUACUCACGUUUAUAUUUUACUCAAAUAAUAAAAAGAUGCAUAAUCAUAAAAACCCAAAUAAAUAUUUUGUGCUUAUAUAUAUCUUUGCUUAGUUUGCUAAAUAAAUAAAUAAAUAAAGUUUGCUAUGAACCCUCAUGAUAAGCUCUCACAUGGAAAUGAUGAAUAAUUGCUCUACCAUGACUAGUUCUUAAAUUGAAAUCUCUCUCAAGUUAGGCAUGACUGGUAUUAAUUAAGAUUUGCUCUAAACCUAAACUUGUGGGCAGAGUACUUGAUCUAAAGUCUAAGUUGUUAACAGAUAUGAUAUGGGAAGGUUGAGCUGCUGUUUAUCUGUUCCUAGAGAUGCUAGAAUUCUGGAGAAUUUUAUCUUUGAAAAUCUUUAAAAUGUUGCAUGAUGAGUUCCUAUAUGAUUAGAGUUUAAAUUCCUACCACAGCCAUAUAUACAUGCUUGCUAGACUUUGAGCCACACAUUUACUUUUUACUGCUUAUGAGCAUUGAGUGUGGUCAAGCUGUGUAGACCCUUAGAAGCUUGUCAUGUGGUUAAGUCAAGAUUCACUUGCACGUUCACUCACACAUGUUGCUUCUACUCCGGAAGUACGCAUCCACAUAUAUCCAUCCAUUUCCAUCUCCAGAACCACCCAAAAAUAUUCUACUCUUAAUCUGGGAGAGAAUAGCCAAAAAUAUUUCUGUUUUUCCCCUGUGAAAUAAAUGCUCAAGUUAUCUUGUUACUACCACUUGCUAUAUUAUUUCAAGAGAUGAGUGCUCUAAAAAAAAGAGAGAAAAAAAAGAAAGAAUAUGAGGAAAUAAAAAGGGGCAAGUGCCCGGAACCUCGAAAGAAAAAAAAAAGUGAGACGAGAGGUAAAAAUGGACAAGUGUCCGACAGUAGAAUUAGGGGUACAAGAUACCCACCCGAGAGAAAAGAAAAAGAAAAUAUAGAGCAUCUCAUUCUCCUCAAAAAGAUUUAAAAGAGUAAGAAAGGUAUGUAUCCCCUCAAAAGAGCACAAGUAGAAUUAGACUUUCACCAUUGUUAUCACCAUCAUCACCAUACACCAUUCAUUCGCCACACAUGCACAUCUUGAUUUGACUUAUUGACUUGUUCUUCUGGAUCCAUAGCUUGACUAUGCAAUAAAUGUCUUGUAAGUAUGUAUUAGCUGUCUCCCACCUAUGAGCUCUAGAUAUUAAAGCCUUAUUAGAGUAGGAUGAGAGAGAAGGCAAUGUCACUAUGCCUUAUGCCACAAAUACCACAUACUUUGAGAGAAGGCAUAUACCAUUACUACCUUGGUAAGGAUCCAGAAAUACCACAAAAGAGAGACUAGAGAGAGUCAUACAAGGAAUCUCUGAGUUUUAUUUGAAAAUCUACAAAAACUCCAGAGCUGUAGUUAAUCGAAGAACAAGAGACAUGGUGCUUGACUAGACUGUUCUGUCUUUUAACUACUCAAGACAGAAGUGACGGUUACAAGUCCCAUGGUGAAAGGUAAAUGAGUAAGUUUUAAGUCUUAACAGUUUACUCUAACCAGAGAUGAGAUCUUGUUUAAACGCAUGUGUAUCUUUAAGUUAUGAAACCACUGCAGAAACUCUUGAGUUCAUCUUUGCUCAGGGACGAGCAAAGAUUAAGCUUGGGGGAGCUUGUUGACGGUCCUUAAUGCUCACAAUUAACCAUCAACUAAUCAUAGAAAAGGAUCCAAAUGCAACCAACACCUAGACUUAGGGUUUUAUCUGAUAGAAUUCCACAAGUUUUGGUGUUUGUCUAUUUCUGCAGGGGGUUAUCAGGAAAUACGAAAGAAAGGCCC
rnacentral:lncRNA from 1 species